rnacentral:lncRNA from 1 species
AAUUAAUCGGUUUGCUUGUACGAGUCAGGUUACUUAAUUCCAUAACUCUAAUAGCUGAGUCAAAUUCUAUAUAGUUGUAAACCUAUUGUUCAUGCUUUUUUUAUUUUUACUGUGUGAUCAUAGUUUCGCUAAAAAGAGCGUGGAAGUAAGUGAUGCUAUAAUCCAUUAACUCGUUGAAUAAUGCUACUAUCCACCAAAAGAAAUAUAAAAAGGCAAUGUAAACACGUAACAGCCAGAGAAAGAAAAUCACGUUAACAACUAGCAACGUAAACAUAUCAUCUUGUAUAUAUAAUAAUAUUAGUUAUUUUUGUUUCACUCUAUUGAAAUCAUGGAUAUAAAAUUAACAGCUAUACUAUAAAAUUUGAUCAAUGUUUGUUCCAUGUCCCACAUGACUAGCUCUCGUAAAAAGAAGUCGUAAGGGGUAAUAAAUCCAAAAACUUUCAUAUGUUCAUCAAAACGGAUCAGUGACAUCAUUAUUGCAUUUGUUUUGGUAACAAUAGCCUUUCUAUUUAACCCAAGAAAAAGACAGUAGUCUUUAUCUUGGACAAAGCUUGUCGUUGCAUAUUUUAUGAUAAACAAAUGGCAUGUUGAAAAUCUAGAAAUACUUUUAGAGUUUGAAAACUAUUAGAUACAUUUAGUAAAGCCAGAGCAUAAAUCGAUAUGUAACCUCGAGUAUCAUAACGAUGACUAAGACAGUUUAAUUUCAUGGAUAUUCCACUUUAGACCAAAGUAGUUUAUGGAUCAUCACAUUUCUUUCUCAUCAUGAUUAUAAUUAUCCUAAAACCAAGGUGUGGGAAGUUCAAAAGAUAUGCAUUUGACAGGACUAGACAUGUCACAUUCUUCCUUCUCCCCAUACUAUGAUCAUUCGUCAUUCAUGUCUUAUAGACUCAAAAUAUAUUAUUAAGUCUACAUUUAUUUUAGGGAUGAAUAAUAUCUAGUGUCAACUAGUUCCUUUUAAAAAUUUUAGCCUGUCCAGUGACACACUCUUACAUUUUCUCUGUAGAAAAAUAACAUUCUCAUUUAGCUUUAACAGAAUUACCCUUGAAUUAAAAUAUGUUCUUUUUAAUACUAUAAACAUUGCACGUUAGAAAUUGAUAUUGGGUGCUGUCGACAGAGUAAUAACUAUCGGAUAUUUUCUGCAAUGUGAAAAUGUUCACACAAUUCGAAACCUUUAACAGACUUUAAAAAACUUUCAACACUUUUUAAAGUUUCUUGUUUACUGGAGUAUAAAUUUCCAAUAAUCAAUAUUAGUAUGUUCCACUAGUAUAUAUUAUACAAAAACAUUAGUAAGUUUUCUGCUUUUUCAUUAUUUUUAGGAACUCUCUAUAGAGUUUCUCAUAAGUUUCUCAUGUGAAACAUUGUUGUUCGUCUCGACAUUCGUUGAUAGUUUUCCUUAUAUAAAAAAAAAGAAUUGCAAAAUCUAAUGUCUACUUAAUUCCGAAAUCAUUUUAGUUGACGAAAAAAAAAACAUAAAUCAUAAACCAAUAAAUCUAAAGUCCUAUUUAGCUUCUUAAACUCACGGAAAGAGUUUAGCCGCCACAGCGGUGAUCGAUGGUAGAAGCUUUUACGACACAAGUUCGGCUAUUUCUCGAAUAAAUAAGAGAAGGUAAUAAGAGACAUAAAAUGAUAGAGAAGGAACUCCCUCAGGGAUUCACGUUAUAAGACGAAAUUAGUGACCCAUUAUAUUCAUUUUAAUAUUAAACUAUAUAAGUUCUUGAUCUGUACAUUAUUUUUCGAUUGAUGAUCAUAAUGAAAAUUUGAUAAAUUAGUCUUUGAUCUAACAUAUCGUAGAAUCAGAACCCAAAAAAAAAAAUUAAAAAGAGAAGCCUUUUCUCUUUCUAAUUGAAUAAAACGAGUUGUAUGAUGCUAUCGUGUGGCCUAUAUUGUCCAACAAUUAAGUGGGAAAUUUUGGUCAUUAAUAUACUAAUAGAUGAAAUAAAGUAUAUAUUGCAUAUUUGCAUGGAUGUAUAUGUAUACAUAAGUGGCUGUGUAAUGUUUGCGUCAGCUUGGACAAGUUGCGCUCUCGCUUCUUUUUUUUUUUUUUACCCUAACUCACUGUCGACGUUCCAUUUAUGUCGACAAAACAAGUAUCAAUAGAUAGUGAUCAGACUCAAAAUUUUCAACUAAUGAUUAAAGCGAAUGUCAUAUAUCUUCUCGUCAAAGAAAAAAACAAAAACAAAAACACGCAACAGUAUUGAACUUUUGAUGAUUUGCAUAAUUACAAUAUCGUAAAGUUAGUGGACUUUUAUUUAUCGCUUGUUCAUUCAUUCACUUGAUAAGACUUGCUCAAAUAUUUCACUUUUUUCCCCCUUAUUUUCCGACAAACAAAAACCGAUAUUUAUAUAUAUAAAACACGAGUAGAGAGUUUUUGUACACGUAUCAUUAUGGUGCUCACACACGCACCCGAACCCAAAGAAAAAACCCUUUCUUAGCUAACACCACAAAACUCAAAGGAAAAAAAAGAAAAGGGUUUUAAAAAAGAGAUUAAACAUAACAUUAUAUAAUUAUAGUGAUGACAUAGAAAUAAAACUGUUAAAGAUCCCAUGACAAGCCAUGGCCAAAGUUAGGGAUGACUCCGUAACCGUAGUUAUCAUCUGACGACUGUCCCCACGGCGGCGGAUAUAAACAGUAGUCUACUGAGUCAGAGAACACGAACUCGUUCCCAAGCGUAGCCGAGUCAACGUCGUAACUCGCUCCAAGACUUGGCAGCUCCACGAUCUCACCUAGCUCCUCUGACUCGGUCCUCACCAAAACAAGAGACUCAAGCGAAGACGUGGAAGACAGAGAAGAGGACGACGACGUGGAAGAUGAAAACGAAGUCGUCGUUGGCUCCAUGUGAGCUGCUUUGAGAGCUGCUGUCUGAAUGUCUCGAGGGCUAAGCGAGACUGGUCGAGGGAAUGAGUCAGCGAGUUCAGGGAAGUUUAGUAUAGCUGAUGUUCCUUUUAUGCUCAGAGCAGCUACGUCGUGUGCACGCGCCGCCAUCUCCGGAGUCGGGAAAGUUCCUAGCCAGAUACGUGACUUCUUCCUCGGCUCACGAAUCUCCGACACCCAUUUCCCCCAGUUCCUCAUCCUCACGCCGCGGUAAACCGGGUGCUUACCGGAGUCUCUGGCACGUUUCGUCUUCUUCUCGUUUUUGUCACUCGCUGAGUCAGACUCCGAGUUAGGGACAAGAAGCUGAGGUACUCUCUCCGAGCGGAGGCUGUAGUAUUCCUCUGCCAUUGUGUCUAGCUUAUGCACAAAAGUAUCGUACAGGUCUAUAAUAUUCUGAUUGCUCUUUUAUUGGAUUCGGAUCCCGAGAUUAUUGCAAAUGGAGAAAAUAAGCUUCAGGGGAAAAACAAAACACAAGUUUGAGAACUAUUCAAAAUGAGGAAAGAAAAAACAGAGCAGUGCAAGUGAUGAAGAAAUGAGAGAGAAACUUUUGUAAUGUUGGUGAAAUUUUCUUGCUCUAUCGUUUCUCAGUCACUCAAAAUAUUUAUAUAUGCAUUAAAAAUAUAUAUAUUUGGGGUUAUGGGUUACAAUUUAGAAGAGAAUGGGACCAGAAACAAUGCAAUAAGUCUAUUGAAUAAAGGAAAAUGGACCCAAUGCUCUCUCUAUUUAUAUAUUUUGUUUUUCUUUCUUAUAUAUAUAUAUAUAUAUCAUACCCCCCACCCUAUUUUCUUUAUUACUAUACAUGGCUAUUAGUAUAAAACGACACACUUGGGGUGGUCACUGUUUGCUUUAAUGGUUCUUAAAAAUCAUAUUAUGCAACUAAAUUAGGAAAGCAAAUCAUAUACUUUUUAUAUAUAUAUGAUUACGAGACGACCAUAUUUAGAAGGGCUAUGUUGAAAAACGACUUUGUUCCCCGCCGGGUACGUAAUAUUUAUAUGAAAUUGUCUCCGAUCAUGAACAUGUUGAGACUGAGACUGAGACAAGCCUUUUCUGUUUUUUUGUGUGUGGUAAAUAACUUUUCACCUCAGUUUUACUGUUUAAUUAUCCUUUACCCUUAUUAUUCGACUCAUUGUAUCAUCAUCAUACAUCUGCAUUUAUAACAUUUUUAUACAUACCUGCUCAUGAGAACCCAAUCGAUGUAUGCAUGCACAUAUAUAUAUAUAUAUAUAUAUAUAUAUAUAUAUAUAUAACUUUUAUCUUGAUUAGAACUAAACGCAUAGUUUCUUGUCUUUCAGAUUCGAGUAGGUAUUAUCCAUAGAAAGGGUUUUUUUAAUCAUAGUAACAUACUAAUAAUUAAGACAUCUGUCCUGGUCUCAUCUACAAAACAAUCUAUCAGCCCAUUGUUAUUGAUUAGGUUAAAGUUAGUUCUAAAGAGAGAAACAAAAAAACAAAAUAGACAGAGAAGUACAUGUUCGUGUAAUAAUAAUACAAAUAAAGAAAAGAAGUAUGCAAAGGAAACUUCAAGAAAUGUCAAGGGACAUUAACUUGUUCAAUCAUGGGACCGUAUUAGUGUACCUAUAAGGACGAGUUUCUGUCAAACACACAUAAUAUAUUAAUUCUAAAGUCUUCUAUUAAUCAUGCCAAACUGAAAAAUAAAAAUAAAAGAUCUUCUAACUAAUCAUCAUUUUGCUUUUUAAAUUCACAAAUAUAAUUGCAAUAACUGAAGUAUUUCCAACGAACGACGCUGUUUCUUCCUUCGCCUCUCGUUUCAGCAAUACGUAUAUGCAUUUUAUAUUUUGAUCAUAUGCAUAUUUCUAAUUUAUCGAUAAAUAUAUGCUAAUUUAGUAAAAUGACCGAAACUGAUCACUACAAACCCAUUAAAUUAAUGGUAUCAUGCAUGAGGUUCGUUUAUAUUAUAACUAAUCAAUACUGUGAUGAAUAAAAUGAUUCAUGUAUACUAUAUCACAUGGUAGAACCUAACCUACCUAUUUCAUUAACUUUUUUUUUUUUGUCGACAUUUCAGUAACUACAUACAAAGGAUUUUAAUUAUAUUUAGCAAUGUGAUACGUGGCUAAUUAAUUUUAAUUAUGAUAAGAUCGUUCAAGCUUCUUUUUACUCAUUUCAGAAAAUUGUCUUUUAGUUAUGAAUGGAGACCAUCUCAAUAAACGAAGCGGACCCUCUUAUAAAUAGAUGGGGAGAAAACGAUUUUAUAUUUAUGUUUAUUUUCUUUUUGGUCAAUUUUAUUUGUAUUUAUUUAGGCAGACAAAACCAAAUAUCGAUAUCUACCGACUAUGGUUUUAUUAGGUAUACAGAGACCAUAAAGUCGAAAUUUUCGAAACAGGUACAAAAUAAGCCUUUUGGAAAGAGAACUUUUCUUCUUCUUCAUAUUCUUGCUUUGCGUUCUCGUCAUUUGGUAAGAUUUAAAGAUCUAUAUUAGGGUCAAAGAUCGCUAGCCGAAAAAGAAACAAUUAUAAGGGUCAGCGUUCAAUUAUGAAUGCAAUGGAAAAACUUCAGAUACUUCUGAUAUAGGUCCUGUGAACUCAUUUUAAAGUUUUUACGAUUUUAUAAUAAUUUAAUAUUGUAUAUGUUUGUGAUGGAAAUUUAUUUAUUUUUCUAUAUAGGAAAUUAAGCCACAUGUGUUUUAAACUAACCUCUUCAGGAGGAUGAAAAUCAAAGUUUAUUUUUAUCUUCCGCACAUCAAUAUUUUUUACUGUUUUUUAGAAAGCUCGACAUGUCUAAGUUUCUUACAAUAUAUAAAUUCACUCUUUUCUAACACUUAACCUAGCUUCGGUUCGCGCGGACCACCAUAACUGCGAGACCACAACGGUAUAUGUAGUAAUUAUGCUUGAGGUGGGUUUGCGGAGGGACGUUUCAUUGUGUUGUUUUCAGAAUAAAGCACAUUUAGAGAACAAAUGUAUGCUCUCUCACCAUAUGUUCUUCUCUGACGUAUGAGCAUAUAAUUAAUUUUGUAGUUGAUGAUAUCAUGGUGGGUAUAUAGUAUAUAUGUAUACCACAUAUAUACAUCACUAUCUUGUGUAUGUUCAUUUGAUAGACAAAAAAUUGACAGAUAGAGAAAAAUGAGACACGUCGAGAUGUAGGACAUUUACUCUUUUACAUGUUUUUGCUUUGGAGAGUGGUCAACGAAACACGCAAAUGGUUGUCGUUUGGACCCAUUAUUCACAUCUUGAAUCGCUAAACAUAUUUUAAUAUCUAUAUCGGAUCGAUGAAACAUGUAAAACGAUAUUAAUCUGCAUUAAGACAUUUAUCUGAAGACUAGAUAAAACGUACGGUAUCAGUUAAUUUAGUCAAAACUUCAUUUGUUGUAUCAAUAAUGCUCGCCGUCGAAAUGAAAUGAAAAAAAAAGGAUGAUAUUUUGGAUUCGAAUUUGAUAAUAUAUACGUGUGAGUUUACAUACAUAUAGCAGAAUUAAAAAAUAGAUAUUUCUGUCUUAGAUUGGGACUGAGAAAAUUUGUUAAGAUUCAUAGAACUCGUUGUCAUGAAGAUUUCAUUAGGAUCAUGGGAUAAGUAAAUUGUACAAAUGUGUUGGAAAAAAUCUAAAACACCGACACGUAGGACUGUAUGAUGGAGAUCUGGAACAGCAACAUUAGCUAGCCGUAAGCACGAUUGUUAUACGACCAAGUGUCAACCGAGCUUCGCGUUUUAGCAAAAAGAAAAAGUAAAAAAAAAAAAAGAACACUCUUCUACGACUACAAUUAUUUAUUUACACACGACUCACUAGAAAGGAGAAAGAUAAAAGAAAACAGAAUUAUAUUUACCUAGAAUAUAUAGACAUUCACAUAUCAGUAUUAUUAUAUAAAAGUCGUAUUGGGAUUGACGACAAUGUAUGCGUAAUAGUUUGAUUGCUACUAUUUAGUUUAAGAUUGUUGAUAGAUCAGUGUGACCAGUCUAGGGAAUCCAUUUUUAUUUAUUUUUCUGUUAUAAGAUCAUUUAAUAGGAUUAGACCUUUCGAUGUAUUAGAUCAUUCUUCUUCACUUACCCUUUACUAAUGUAUAUAUAAUUAUGAAAAGUUAAAAAUGAUGAAAAGUUAGAAAACAAUUUAAAGAUUUGUGUAAGAGACAGACAAAACAUACAAAGAAAACAUGAUUCUGACUAGAAAAGUACAUCAAACAUCAACAGUCAAAAUUCACCAUCACCAUUUAUUAUUUGCCCACUUCUUCUUAUAGUUUUCUUUUAUUUAUUUACUCCAAAAAAUUUGGCAAAGAAAAAACAUACUAUCAUUAUUGAAAGAAGAUAGAUAUUGAAAGAAGGUGUAUUUUGACUAUUGAUUGAGAGUGCCUGACUAUUUGACAGCUUCAGUCCUGCUGCUUGUUUGUCACAUGCAAUUGCUUGGUUCAUCAUAUAGCUAUAGCCCACACAGUGUCUUUGAUCAGUAUUGUUCCAAACGGCUAUUUUUAGAGGCACACAAUACAACAAAUCUUCUGAUUUUGUUUUGCUAGAUUAUAUUUCCGGCCGGCCGUGUCAUCAGAAAAAAUGAACUAGCACGUUUCCAGAAAUUUAGAUCUUAAAGACUUAAACUAACGCUAUAUUAGCAAAAUAAAGAAACAUGAUAUCAAUCAAAUUGUGGUCAACAUGUAAGACGAGUUCUUUGAAGAUUUGUUACAUUUGAAAAGUGUUCAAUGAUUUUGAAGAUAGCAAGAGCAACAUUGAAUACAGAUGAUGUGAAUUUAUAUCUUGAGAAGAAUAUUAGAAACAGAGAUAUUUAGUGCAGGGAAAACUCAAUCAUCAAGGAUAUUGAAAAGUCCGGAUGCUACGUUAAGAGAGAUGACGAUUUGAGGCAGGCUCAUUUCAAAAGUUGUUAGCGGUGUUAGGGCUAAGAACUUUGCUUCUACGCCAACAGCUCUAUACUGAUUUUUUUAUAUCAUGAACACAUCUCAAUGGUCCAUGGAAAACCUUCUGAGGAUCUUACAACAACUAUAUAUAUCUGGUCACUUAUUCGAUAACUUAAGGUUCUUGAUCUCAUAUGUCAUCUUUACCUAAAUAACGAAACAGAGCAUUUAAGUUUGUAUGGUUUACACUUUCCUUCUCUUGUGGCUUAGGAUGAAAUCAUCAUCAUCGUCCUCUUCAUCAACGACUUUCUUCUUCUUUCUAGGAUCUAAACCGCUGUUCUUUGACGCAUAUGUCCUUUGAGAACUCUCGGCUUUGCUAGUAUACGUUGGUGCCGGUUUAGUCGGUGUCCCCAUUCGAAUUUGCUUCAUCUUCCUCUGCUUUUUCUCAAAGGCUCGCUUUGCCUUAUCCGGAGACAACAUACCAUGUUCCAUUAGCCUGUUUCAACACAUUCAAGUUUUAUGCGCCUAUAAUGAGCCAAGAAGAACAAUAUAUUAAUUUCAUCUCAUAAAGGAACUUUUCAAUAGUGUAUUGCUCACCAGAACUCAGCCAUUUCGCUUCCUGUUAUUUGUUUGGAUAAGGAUUCGUAAAAUAUCCUCAAGGGCUCUCUCUGCAGAUGCAAAAGACAGAGAAACCAAUAAAAAAUAAAAAAUAUAAUCAAGAACAUGAAAAAAAAGGAAAGAUUUAGUAGAGUAAUCAUUAGAUAUGUCUUAGAAAUUAACCUCUUCAGGAGGAUCAAACUUUUGUCCGGGUAAUGAAUAAACCUUCUUCUCUCUUUUGGCUUUCCCUUUGGCUGUUGCAGCAGACGUUGUUGCUGUAGAUUUUACAGAUAUUUUGGGCUUUGCCUUCACAAAAGUUUUGCAAUAAAUAUGUUACAAAAUUCAACCUAGACACCAAAAUAUCCAAAAUCACGUCAUGAUUGAGACUUUUACAUAGAUGAUAAAAGAGAUCUCUAGUAAUAUCAUCAACCUAAUUCCAAAAUUUCAUCGCAGUGACCAACCUAGCUAGAUAUUGACUCUAAUCUUUAACAAUUUAUCAAAUUCAGAGGAAUGAAGAAAUUUCAGAGAACCCAAAUCAGAAACACGCGAUAAAAACUUAUAAGACAGAGACUUUUUCCCGAUUUGGUACCUCUGAUUUCGCCGUGACGGUGGAAACAGAGGAUCUGGGUUUGUUAUCCGACAUGAUCGGUUUGCUAGAGGUAACGAUUUUCUUCUUGUCUUUAAUAGACGGAUCGAUCUUGACUCUGGAAGAAAGAGAAGAAGACCCAACGCGUGGCUCGCUCUUAGCCGAACUUGGUCUCCCCUGUGUCGCCAUGAAAAGCUCAGAUUUACCUGAAAUUCUUUAGUUCAGCUCAGCUACCUUUAUUUUCUGCGUGAAGAAGAACCCGACAACGAUUCCUAGAAAUGUGAUGCAAUCUUCCGAUUCAGUCUUGCCGCUUUCGUAGUUUAUGUAGUGAAACGGUAAAAACUGAACAGUUUUAACCAUAAUUUAAAAUUUACAUGAGGAGUACCUUUUUAAAAAAAAUUCUUUCCUACUCCUAAUCACCUUUAUUUAUUGAUUUGGAGAUUUUUUUUUUUAUAAUUCUAAAAUAAAUCUCAAUAUAUUCAUAUGAAAUAUGUUGAAUCAUCAAUCUUUAAAAACAUAAAAAUAAUGAGUUAUCUACAAUCCGAAUUUGAAGUAAAUUGAGGUAACAAUCCAACUUUAUUAUAUAAUCCUGGUGAAACCAUAUGGCUAAAACGUCUGAAAAACCCGGUUAUACCAAACGGAAUGAAGAAUCAUAUGAAAUAUAUCAUACCGAACCGGUUCAUCAUCAUGCCACAUGAAAUGUUUUUGAACCUUGGACACCCUCUUGUGCAUCUCCACGUAUCUUCUCACCGGAAUCGAUACAAGAAUCUUCCUCAGGUUUGGAAUCUCCUUCUCCGGCACAAACACAGCGAAAGAUUCCCAGUUCAGAAUCUCAAGAAACGGUGGCACAAAGUUAUCAGAGAUAAUCACCGGAACGCAACCGUAAAGAAUCGACUCCACCACUCUAGGGCUAUUCACCUCGUACCCUUUAGCGCAAACGCAGAACCUACUUCGUUUCAUGUACCGGAUAUAUGAUUUGUGAUCGAUCCGGUUAAAGAUCUUCAUAUCUGGCUCGGGUCUCGAAGACCAAUGGUUGAGCAAGAUGGGUCUGACGUAACCGUGUAGGUUCCCGGCGAAGAAGGCGAGGAUGGUUCGCUUGGAUGGACGGUUACCUCCAAUUUUUCCGUUUGGGUUUUGUGCCGAAGAGACUUUCGUUUCCGGCAACGAGACGUCUUUUCCGACCACGAAGUCUACUCCGACAUCAGCAUUACAGAGUGAUCUAAUGCAGUUCAUGUAUGGCCCUCUAGUCUCAGCUGGAGCCUAUUAUAACAAAUAUGAAAACUUACAUUAAAAAUAACUAAUCAUAAAUAUCAGAUCAUUUCAUUAAAAUCUUUUGUUUUGACUUUUAAACACCAAUUUACUUUUUUUUUUUUGGUAGAAACCAAUUUACUUAUAUAUAUAUAUAUAUAUAUAUAUAUAUAUCUGUUUUCAUUUAAAGAUAUAUUUCCAUUUUUCUUCAAAAAUAUAUGUGAAUUUCCAUUUUUUUCAUAAAAUAUUCUUAUUAUGCUUUUAUACUUUAAACAGACAGGUACACUUUAUAGCUUAUAAAAAGGAAACUUCAAUAUAUAGUGCAAGCCAAAAAAAAUAUGGGGGUUUAAAAGAACAUACCCAAUCAUGGCAAGCGGUGAAGAAAUGAUCAGAGCCAAGAGUUCUAUUCCAGAAAGGGUGGUUGGAAGAGAUAAGAUCGAUGUAGUUCCUGAGAUACUUAACAAGGUUUCUACGACUAUGAGAAUCAUGAACGUAAAGUUUCAGUUGAAGCAUUCUGGAACUGAAAGGCAAGUAGAAAAGAUGAGCUUCGGUUGGGUCUUUCGUCAAGAACCUAUGGCUACUCUCCAUUAGUUUCAUAAACCAUCCUUCUGAUGCGUAAAUCCCUUCCAUCAUUGCCUCUGGCUGAUGGAAGAUUGGUCUGUCCCCUUCUGCAUGGACGUACACUUUUAGAGUCUGCUCCAUUAGCUCAUAGCUCCUACAAGAGACCGAUCAUUAAUAAACGUAUAUAUUUAUGUGUGGUUGCUUGUAGUAGAUUAUUUUUUUUGUUUACAGAAACACGAUUUAUAAAUGUAAAAUUAAACGCUGACGCAAGAAUUAGUUCGGCCUUUACUACCCUUGUACUGUAUAUGCUUAGUUUGGUUAAACGUUAAACCUUUUGAAUAUGGAUAGGUUAUGGUAGAGAGGCGCAUAAAGGGUAUCAUCCUUCUUAACCAAAGCUGCGUUCUUGAUCUUGUCUCUAGCAGUUUUAAGCUCUUCGUCCACUUUUGAUCCCCAACGAGGUUUCUAUGAACAUGAAAUGGUAGGAAAACAGGGGAAUCAGCAGAGUUAUGAGUAAUAAGAAAUUGGAACUUAUGGUAAAAUUAUUUGCAUACAAGUGAAUUUUUUGGAUCGUUAUGCCGCUUCCAUAACAUAUUGUUCAUCUGGGUUAUUGAUAUGACAACUAAAGGUGGCUUUUUGAUGUUCCUCUGGCUCUCCUCAUGUUUCUUGUGGAUUCGAGGAUUUUUGGGUUGAAGAGAAUGUACAGAACUAGUGGUUUCAUUGCCUCUACUUCGCUGAGAAGCUUCUGUUUUGGGAGAAUCAUUCAGAAACUUGUGCUCAAUACUCUUCAAGACUUUAGUUGUGCUAUUAUACGGUUUGAAUCCAGACGAUGCUUGUUGAGAUGCCAGAAACGUUUUAUUUUCAGCACUUUUGGUGGUACCAUUGGAUUCCCUGAACUCAGAAACGUUGCCGUUUCCAUGUGAAACAAUAGAUAAUGGAGCGAGUUCGAAAUACUGAAGGCCUAAAACUAAGGCAACAACUAGAACCAUGAGAAGAACAACUCUACAAGUUCUUGCUUGGCCUAGGAACCGCAAACCCCGAAUUUGAUCCAUCACAACCUGAAAGGAGCUCAGGUUCCUAUUGAACACAACGGAUCUUUCCUGAAAACAAUUAUUAGUUUUGUCUAAUUUACCCAUCAAAAUCCAAAACUAAAUACACCCACCUGUAACUAUUAGAUGAAGUUUAAGGCUAAAAGCUUAAGUACUGAUUCAUGAGGACUGUUCCAGAAACAGAACUUGAUCACUUACAUGGACAUCAGAUCAGAGCUUGUUGAUAUAUGGAGCUCUCUUAUCCGAGCGUUUCUUUGAAGUUUCUUGGAGUGAUCAUCAUCAAAAGAACUAGAAACAAUAAUUAACAAGCAAAGAGACAACAAGACAAGAGAAUCGAUGGCUUUUAAAUUUGUACUAUCAAAAGUCUUGACUAAUUAAGUAUACCCAAAAUAACAGUGUUUGGAUUUGAUAAACCAACAAGGUAUGAUAAUAACUUUCCUCGAAUUUUCAGAAGACACCCCUUAAUUAUCUGUGUUUGAUCAAUUACGACCCAUAGUUUUAUUUUCCAAAAGCUGCCUCUGUUUUUUUUUUUUUCUACUACAAUAUCUUUCAACAUUUAAACCACAUCUACUAUAACCAUCUGUUUUCUUACACAAAGUAUUAAGUAGUACUACAGCAUAUACUUAUUACCACUUAGUAGUUGACUUGAUUAAUAUAUUUUUCUUGAACUUAAUAUCUUACACAAUCCAAGAAAAUGUAUAAGAAGAGGGCACUCAAAACAAUGAGCUUAUAGUAUUUGAAGUUUGAGUUCAGUGUCAGCGUUUGCAUCCCGCACUCUCAGCUCUACAACGUGAUCCAUGCAUUGGAAGAUGUGAAUCUCUGUAUUUUCCCAAAGAGAGAAAAUUAAUUCCUCAGUAUCAUUGGUUUAUAUCUACCUAGAUAAAUUUUUAUACUAAACGCCACAUGAAAUUCUCUAUUCGUUAUAUAUAACCUUACCGAUCUUCCUCAACGUGUCCAAUUUAAAUGGUUUGCGAGGAACGAAACCAUACCAAUUGGUUAACUCAAUCAUGCUAACAUACAUACAUGUAAAACAAUAUAAUUAAAUUUGAUCUACAAUAUUUGUUUUAGUUGAUGAAUAUACAAUAUUUUGUUUAAACUGAUAAUAAUAAUCACAACAAUCAAUCCUCCAAUUUCCUCAACAUGGCCGUUGGCUCGUGCCAACACCAUCUUCCUCCUCUUCAUCAACGUAAGGAGCAAGAUUCAAGUAACAAUUACCGUGGCAGUUAUCGUAAUUACCACCACCGUCAUUAGGACUCUUAUUAGAGCUAUUGGCUCGCCACCGUGCACGGCAUACCACGCAGAUGCCUGGCCGCCGUCCACGACUCCUCCUCCACGCCAGCAUACAUUCUUCAUGCACCUUGUUCUUGCAGACUCGGCACUUCACCACGGCGACUUCCUUCUCCUCGCCUCCACCAUUUUCGCCGUUUAUACUUUUACUGCCGUUAAUAUCGUCUAGACAUAUAGGACAUGUUGCUGGCUCUUCGUCCUCCUCAUUUUCCUAUUCAAGAUAACGAAUGAUAUAUGCAUGUCAAAAUAUUUAAGUAUCUACCCAACAGUAAAGUAAAUUUCUAUCAAACAUUGAAUUUUACAUAGGAUAAUAAAAAUGUAACGAUAAAUUUCUAUGUAAAAAAAAAAGAUUUAGAUUUCUACAUGUUUGUUUAAUUAUAUUAUUGUAACUGGACAUGCAAAAUUUCGAACCAAUUUAUCAUGAAUUUCUCAUUAGGACAACAAUUAUCACAUGGUAAAUUUUUUUUACCAUUUUACUGGUGGAGGAGGAUGAGUUAGUAGUAUCGCCAGGUUGAGAAGUGGCGGCCGAAAAAAGCUGAAGAAACCGUUGCUGGAGAUGGAAACUGGCGAGGCAGUCAGGCAAUGUUGGGGCGGAGAGCAGGCGGUAGAGAAGACAUGGCCGGAGUCUCCGUUGCCUUAGACACUUGUCAUCGAGAGGAAGGCCAAGAACUCGGAUCAAGACAAACAAGAUAUGCUUGCACGGCUUCUUACGGUCGGGACAAGUACAAGUAGGUGUAGCCGUUAGCGUCACCGUGUAAACGUUACACGUUGCACCAAGAACAUGAAAAGUUCCGCCAUUUGGACGGUGGAGGAGACGAAUUCGGUGGCGAAGAGCUCGAAGUAUCCGAUCUGCCACCGGUUGAGCCAAGAAAUACCGUUGGUCACGGUUACUUACGUACGGAGAUAUUUGAUUCGAUCCGACAGAUUCCAUUGAUUUUUUAAGAAUUCCGUUACAACAGUUGGGAGAUUAUGCGAUUACAUAUUUAUGUUGUGGAGAUAGGUACAGUUACAAUCAUACACGUCAUGUAUUUUUGUGAAGAUUCUUGGUAUGGAACGAUGGCACACGUGUGGAAUAACGGCGACGUGUAGGCGAUCACAAAAUACGGCGUUACACGGAAUGCAAAAACCUCAUAUAUUUUAUUUUUUUUAACUCUUGAUUUAUUAUUUAUGGCAAAUUAUGAGAAUUGUUACAACGACGAUACUACUACCGACAAUUCUAUCCGACCUUUUUAGAUUCACCACAGAUUACAACCCUUUCCUGACGACACUUUCUUCUUCAUGCGUAGAAUCACGGCGAACGGCUCUAAUUGUGCAUUGUUAUAGAUCUCUUGUAAGCUUAACUCCUUAAUCUGCAAAUUAAAUAAAUCGCAUUACCCGGGCGUCGAACCCAGGACCUCUUGGUGUAGAAGCUUUAAAAACCUCAUAUAUUCGCGAUCCAAUUUAAUUAAUCUAAAAUUCAGACGUCGUGUGGUUUUCCGGAAGUACAGUGGCACAGCAUGCCAUUUAUUUUUCAUUAAUUUUUGUUUGAGAAACGUUGUCGUUUUGGGUUAAACCUUGUAAAAACUCAAUCCUCUAUCUUGCUCGCAGUAUAACCUAAAAUCAAAAUCACAGUCGCAUUCGUUUUGUCCGGCAAAAAUGGCUUCUAGAUGUCGAUCUUUGUCUAAACCAGCGUUUACUAUGUUUAGAUCUGCAAUGAACAAGCCCUCUCUUCGACCCAAAUCGGCUUCAUCGUUUCUGGGCGUCCCUCCUUCGCCUGGACUUUCGAGGUAACUCAACUGAUUGAUUGAUUGAUUUUUUUUUUCCUUCCCGACAUUUGAGUAGUGGAUUUGUAUUGGUGAGCUCCCGAUUCAUGUAUUUUGUUAAAGGGUUUGUUUGAAUAUUGAUAGGCCGAUUGCUCAGCUGGGAUCACUUCAAUCGUUGCUUCCAUUGUAUAGUGCGGUGGCUUCUGCUAGAUUGACUUCGUGCCUCGGUAUCGAUUCACAGAAUUCUAGGUCAUUAGCUCAGGGUAUGCUCUGCAGUGCGAAUCCAGGAGUUUGAUAUUCCAAAUCCAAAUGUUUUGUGUUUAGUAUAUCUGUAAGCAACCUUUUUUUUAACUCUUUGAUCUUUGCGUAGCUUCGAAUUGACAUGUUAUUUAAUCUUGGUUUCAAAUUAGAGAUUGGAUUUUCGUAAUUAAGAUUCGCUAGCAGUUUAUAUAUAGCCUAAGUAGAUAUUGCUUUUAGUUGGAUAGCUCUGUGUAACUUUGAUCCUCAUCUUUGCAGAACUGACUAUUGACAUUCAAGAAAUUCAUAGAAUUAUCACAGAUCUCGAACUUUUCUCUGUUUCAAACUUGCCCCUUCCCCAUAUUGGUUUGAUCUUUGCUUUGCUUUUCCUUCACAUUGUGCAGUUUGAUUAGGACUAUUGUGGUUUUCCGAGUUUCCUUUUAGUGAACUAUUAGUGUUUGCCAGGGCAUAUAUUCAUUGGUCUCUUAAACACAAAUAGGUUCUUGCUUAUCAAAGAAUUGUUUAGGCAUAAGAAUCUUGUAUUGGCUCGAAGAUGAAAGAGAUGCCCUUUUGGUGCUGCUAUUUCUUCAUCUUCUCUUUGAACUUUUUGUAGUAUUAUUGAUUGCAAAAAACAAUUGAAACAAAUAUGUUUUGAUGGCACAUAUACUAAUCUAUGUCUCUCAUGAAUCUUUGCAGAGCUCGGCCUAAGCGUGCCUCGAUAAUGAGACCAGACUCGAAGAAAUUUGGAUUCGUUUUAGAUGAGAUUCUCUGCAUCUUUGCUUUUGCUGGUCUAAUUCAAUCACUCAGAUCAGUUCUCUGUCAUUUGGAUGAUAAAACACUCUCUUCUUUAGUUACAUUCCAAUUAAGCAACACAAUGUCUUUUGGAACUUCUAUGUUCAACACAUCAAGAUUGAACAAUAAUAGCCUCUUGUCUAUGCUAUUGGUUAAGCCAUGAUUUUGCUAUUCAAUUAUUAUUGGCUAGUUUUAGUUUUACUUGUUUGUGUGUAUAUGAGUUGUUAUUCAAAGUUUCAUUUAGGAUGGAUGAUUAAAUCUAGUGAUCGUAUAUAACUAUCAAAAAUGAUAUCUUCAGCAUGAAAGUUAAGCCAUGCCCAUGAGAUACUCGAACCCUUCAGAAACUUUGUAUGUAGUGAUAAUACGACUUGCCGUUUCUUAUAAUGCACAAAAUUGUGUCGUAGAUAAACGCCUUGCCGUUUUCUACAAUGUAAAACGACGUGACGUCUACUGUGUUUUCAAACAAUCCUUGUAGACACUCUCGGCAAAUUUACAGCUCUUCAACACGAAGAGAGCAAAAAAUGGAGAAGAAGCGUGAAGGAGUAAUGGAAGCAAUGAGUCGGAUCGUAUCAGAUCCUUUCUACUUCCUCCAUUUCAUGGCCUUCUUCUCUUACCUUCCGAUUCGUAGCUCCGCCGCACCCUACACUUCUCAUCGACUCUUCGACAGAGAAAUCCAAGCAUUUCUAGCGUUCCUUAUGUUUUCCGCUAUCAAGGUUUGAGCUUACUUCGAAUUUGAUUAAAUCGCUUGAGUUCUUCACUCCCUGAUUUAUUGAUUUGUGCAAAAUCGUAUUGUAGAUGGUGAGGGAGGAAACAUGGGAAGCUUUUGUUGCGGAUGGUUUACUCUACGCUAAGGUUAACACUCUCGCCGGUUUCAGAUUCCGAAUCAAAAUUGAAUUGUUAGUCAACUUUAAGAUUCAUGUGAAAUCUGCUGAUACACAUUUAUUUACUCGCCCCAGAUCUUUCUCAUAGCUGUUUCGUUGAUUAUGGAUUACCGAGUGGCGAUCUGGUUCUCUGUCAUAUUUUCAGGUGAGCUCAAUUCCUAUCUCUUUGAUUAAAUAUGUGAUAUUGUAUAGGAAAUGCAGAUUUCAGUGUUGAUUGAUCUUAAACCAUUGAUUGAGUCUUUCUAUGUUUGAUUUGAAUGUUUCCUUUUGCAGUUAUAUAUCUUUUAGCUCAACAGCCAGCAUUUAGUAAAUUAGGUAUGGGAUGAUUCUUCAAGUUCUUGCUUUUAUGUGGAUUUGCUGAAUCAAAAGUUGUAUUCUUUGUAAAUUGCGUAAACGUUUGCAGGAACUGCGAAGAAGCUAACACCUAUGCAGUUGGAGGAUUUGCUGUCUGAUGGGAGCACAACGAAAUACUGGUUGGUACGUGGGAACUACUGGCUUUAUCUUUUAGAUGAUACAUUUGAAAAAACCAAGGAGAAGACUUUGGGUAAUGAAAUGAUUUAGUUGCAGAGAGCAUAGCUUACACUCGGAACCCAACAAAGCAUGAUGUCUAUGAAGCUAGAUAAUACCUGUAGCCUCCCCUUACUAUUAUGUCAUCAAAGUUUGUCUUUCUUUUGUUUAGCUGUCAAUCAUUUAAGAAACAGAACUGAUAUGCAACAAUUAGUAAAACAAUGUCGGAAAUUGAACUUUCAUCUGCAAAAGGUUAUUAUUGAAGGCUUGUAGCUACUUUUAUGAUGAUGUGCCUUUCUUAUCUUUUGCAGAUAGAAUUCUUUGCAUGUAGUUCUUCUAAGUGUGUUCGUUCAAGCCGAUGCUUUCCCGAACUCUCUAUCACGUAAGCUUUGUGUAUGAAUUAAGAAAGACCCCAAUUUCACUGUUAGUCUUAAGACACACUCACUCACUCUUCUUCCAUUUCUUCAGGUACUCGAAUAAUCUUUUGUCUUUCGGAACUGUUGAUUUUGGACUUUUCCCUAAUACUGCUGCUAAGUUCGGAAUAUCUCUUGCCGGUAAUAAUUCUUCACUAACUCAUUAAUUUGUCCAAUCUCAAAAACACAUCGAGUCUCUGUUGUGGAAGCAACUGAUCAUAUUGUGUAUCAUAUAUAGGUGGAAUGUCUCAGCUUCCAACAUAUAUAUUGUUCGAAAAGGGUGUUGAAGUUUCUCGGUUCCCAGACUUUUAUGUCGAUGCUGCACCUUCUUUACCCAUAACCAAGGUUUACAUGCUUUGACAAAAUUGGCAAGAAAUCAGUUUUUUAAUGGCUGCAUUAAUUCUCUUAAGGCUAUACGGCUGUAAAUGGAAUUUAUAAAAGUUGUGUUUAUGUGUGGAGGUGGACUGAUUGGACCAAUAUAUUUCUAUAUUUUAUUUGUGGCGGAGAAAACGAAUAACGGAUAUACAACUUUCUGGCCUUCGCUUGCAAGAGCAGUAUGAAGAAAUCAACACAACCAUCAAGUUUAUGGAUUCGUUUGUUUGUUCUUCUAUAAUGGGCAUUUUUAGUGAGGCUCUUCAGAGAAAACGACAGUAUUAUAUUCUAGUGCUAUAGAGAGAUAGAAAGAUUCUGUUGAAAUCUUACGGGGUUUGAACUUCAGCGAAGAAUUCUUGAAUACCUUGGUAAUGGAAAUAUCACUUUCUGACUUCUCUUUAGUUCCAUUCGUUGUCAUGAAUUUUGAGGCUCAUUUGCACUCGUACGUCUCUUAUUGUGUUGUUUUCAUGUGGUAUAUACCACAACCCAUUUAUAAUCCUUUGUCCUAUGUGUGGACUAGAAAAUUACCAGUAAAUAAGUUGGAUCGUGCGUGCGGGCGGCUACUAUUCCAAGUAUCAUAUCUUUACCCUGCCAAUUAUAUUUUUGCAAACAUUCCAAAACUAAUAUGUAGUGAAAGCAACAAGUAAUAAAGUAUGGGGAGCCCAAUAAGUAAGUAUGUUGAUAUACAAAAGAAAGCAUCGUUAUCUUUAAAAGACGUGUGAUUACGAUUUAAGAGUUGAAUGAACAAGAAACUGAAUGGUAAAGAUGAUGCCUAGUGGCAACGUCUGCUCGUCAUGUUCCAGAAUCCUAAUUUAGCCAUUAAAUAAUUUGAUUUGAUCUCUUGACUCGGCUUUUGCAUCUCACUUUCUCGUGUCUAUCGUUGUGUUUACAUCAUAAAUCAUACUGUACUUUAAUCUAACUAAUAACUAUAAUAUAUAUAAAUCCAACUAAUAUCAGGAAUACUAUUCAAUGUAUAAGGAAAUAAAAAUGUACCAAAAUAAAUAAUAAUAAUAAUCAGUUUCUCAAAACGCGGUCAAUAAAUUAAAAUCAUUUAAUAUCGUAUAACUCGUAACGGACCAUUUAUAUCAUUCUAUCUAACUCAUCAACGGUUCUUGACCGAACACUCCCGGAAACUCCGUAUCUGCACCGUCCAAAUCUCUGACUUGGGACCGCUCAACAACACUCCUACAUAAUCUCGUUAGUUUGACAACCAAUGAGGUAUAUCCACGUAGCCAGUCUCACCAUGCUCCGCCACUACAUAAGAUUAAAGUAAUCACCUCUUAUAAAUUGAGUCCCACCAUUUGCCCCAAAAUUUCCUGACAUUUUCUCUGUUACACGCUUUCCUUCUUUCUCCAUUUUUUUUAAUUUUCUUACGAUUUGUGAAUCUCUUUUACAUAUUUUCCGGCGAUGGCGUCAACGUCGGGAGAAAUGGAGCAAUUGACAUCAGGAGCGAGCAAUCGGAUCAUUUUUAUUUCGAGAACGCUUAGGAAAUGUCUCGUCUUCGUCUUCUCUCUCGUACUUUCUCUUCUCCUCGUUCUCCGUCUCCGUCCUCGUCGCCGUGUCUCGCCUCUUUCAUCGCCGGAGGAGGGGGAGGAGGCUGUUCCUGCUCCUUCUAGGCGAUGGAGGCGGAAGAUGGCAUGGAAGCUGGAGGAGGAAGACACGGCUAGACGUCGUUCCUUGGCUGAAGGCGUUGAGAUGGCCGGAAAUGAAGAGAUCCCUUGUCGUUGGAGCAGUUCUUUGUUUUACGGCCGUCGUGGUAACGCUUUGUUCUCUCGGUCGUGGUUGCCUCUCUCCGGCGAACUCAGGUAAUUAGCCUCUCGAUUUUUGCAUGCACAAAAUUAGAAUCCUCCGGUUAAGUUCUUAAUCAGAAGUUUUAUCUAACCUUGGUUUCGAUUUUGACUUUGAAUUUUUGAAUUUUAUUAAUCUCUUCAGGGGGAUUUUGAUUAUUAUUCAUGGACUCAAUGAACACAGGUGAAAAAUCAACACUUUUUUAUUUUUAUUUUCAAAUUUAAUUCGUCUUACUAAAUUCUCUAUUAUUCGAUCAAUCUCUCAAUCUGUGAAUUUCUUAAUGUCCAGUGGAAGAUAUUCUCAAUUCGCUAAGCAGCUAAACUCGAGUCAUUUAGGUGUAUACGCUAUGGACUGGAUUGGUAUGAACACGAGCUUGUUCUGUUUCUUCUUCAUUUUCAUAUUUGUUCUGAAACUGUGGGUCUGAACAGGUCGCCAUAUGUUUGGUUUGGUCCAUAACUGUAUUAGGUCACGGUGGGAGUGAUGGUUUGCAUGGCUAUGUUCCUUCUCUUGAUUAUGUUGUUUCCGACACUGUAAGUUUACCAUCUUACAAACAUUACUUCUUCUUUUUUUUUUUUUGUCUUUUUUGGUGAUGAAACUAGAGAAAUGUUCCAUUUGAAGUUGUUGAUUUAGUGAUUUGGUGUCUUGAUUUGAAUUCUAUAGGAAGCUUUCUUGGAAAAGAUUAGGUAUGAGAACCCGGGGGUCCCCUGUUUUCUCUUUGGUCACUCCACUGGUGGAGCUGUGGUUUUGAAGGUACUUCAUUUCGUACCUUUGAAGCUCUGUUCAAGCUUUUAUUGUUUACAGUGUCCUGACAUAAGGGUCUACUUUGUGUUAAUAUAGGCAGCUUCAUCUCCCUCUAUUGAAAAUAUGUUAGCUGGAAUUGUCCUGACAUCGCCUGCACUUCGUGUCAAACCCGCUCAUCCCAUUGUUGGGGUAAGUCGUCUCCUUUGCAGUAUUCAAGUUAGAUGCUUUGUCAUUCUAGGCCGGAGAACUUUGUGGGUGAUCAUUAGGUCAUAUGUUUCUUUGUAGGCAAUAGCUCCACUCUUUUCAUUGGUCGCCCCAAGGUUCCAAUUCAAAGGAGCAAACAAGAGAGGCAUUCCGGUCUCAAGAGACCCUGAAGCUCUCUUAGCCAAGUACUCUGAUCCAUUAGUCUACACUGGUCCAAUAAGAGUCCGAACAGGCCAUGAGAUACUUCGCAUAACAGCUUACUUGACCAGGAACUUCAAAUCUGUUACAGUGCCUUUCUUUGUUCUCCAUGGUACAGCGGACAAAGUCACUGAUCCACUAGCUUCACAAGAUUUGUAUAAUCAGGCACCAUCAGUUUUUAAAGACAUCAAACUCUAUGAUGGUUUCUUACACGACCUUCUCUUUGAACCUGAGCGUGAAGAAGUCGGUCGUGAUAUCAUAGAUUGGAUGAUGAAGCGGCUUGACGAUGUUAACGGAUCAGCCGUUGGCCUCUGGUAAAAUAUCAAAUGGCGAAAUAUCAGAGGUCUUCCUCUUCUCUAGGUAGUUGUAAUACAAAUGGCGUGUUUGUAAAAUCAGAAGCCGAAUGUAGGAAAUACAAAUAUGUAUAAUGGGUUUAAUCUUUGAAUUGUUUGAUUAUUGAAAUUUUCCUUACAAUGGAUGAAGAUAGAUAUGCAUGUGAAUGCAUACUUCAUAAGUAUAUAUUAUCAUUGAUUUUGUUUUCCUUGCUCAUUUUGUUUCCUAACAAUGGAUGAAGAUAGAUAUGGCUUCCUUACAAUGGAUGAAGAUGGAUAUGGUUUCUUAGUAUAAAGAGAGCAUGUUAGUGAUUUCUCAGCUGUUUGACAUGGCUAGUAUGUAAAUUAUAAUAUGUGUUGGUGGUAAAAAUUAACAGAUGUAGCUAGAGACAUGAUAUAUAGUGUAUUAGUGUGGAGACUCAGAGAAAAAGGUCGUCGUUUAGUAUAUCUAUAUAGAAAGGAUAACCAGAGAAAGUCAUGGAGUAAAAUCUUCUUAAUCCACACGUAAGAAUUGAUUUUUCUCUGCUAAUGGUACUAUGCCACUAUUCUUCUUAAAUGGAAUGAUAUUUUUGGUUAUUUGCUCUAGUUCCCAUAGUCCAAGUUACGUUUUAAUUACCUUAUAAUGUCCUUUUUAACUAGAGGUUUCUUGGUUCCUCAAAUUUGUGUUCUUUAAUUACAGUUUAUAUGUAUGUAUGUAUGUAUGUAUGUUCAAUGUUUCUUGUAGUUUAAUCUAUCUGUCAUAGAAUGCAUGAUAACAAUAUGCAAAUCUCUAUUCAUUCGCUGAAAAGAGACAUCUACUGGAGGAUUAUCAGUAGAGAAUGUGUUGUCCAAAAGUUUUGAAAUGGCUGAGAGGUCAAGAUUUAUGGACCAAUAUUCUCUAAUUUUAGGCAAAAUUAAAGAAGUUUUGACAUGAUCAUUUAUUUUUGCAGACAAUACCAUGUAUACAUUAUUUUACAUGUGAGUGAAGUUGGUGGAAAAUCAUUAAUCAUCAAGCAAUUUACAGUAGUCCGGUAAACAAAUGAUCGUAUAUAGCAUUUUCUUGCAUUAUAUAUAUUCUUACAUAAAAAAUAUAAUUUUGUCAAAUGUCUUCAGUAGCUGAAGUUUAUUUUUUUCAAGAUGUGAAUGGUUGCACUAUUUAGAUUGUCUACCAAUAUUGUGUAAGACAUAUAUUAAUUGUUUGUUUGAUGUUAACGUAUUUAUCAUUUGAAUAGUAUAAUUUUGUAUGGUCCUAUUAUUUCAAAGUUGUAGUUUUAUUAAAGAAUUUAUAUCCUCAUCAGUUUUCGUUUCUCAUUGAAUUCAGUACCACUUGAUAUGUAGCUUUUUGUUUUUUUUGGGGUAUAUAUGUUAAGAUUCUACAAACUUUUAAAAGAGGGAUACAACCUAUUCCACCCAACAACAGAGACAUAUAUAGGGAAAACCCCAAAAGAAAAAGAAACUCAAAAGAAAGAAACCAAAAAUGGAAACUUAAGUUGGAGCAUGCAUGUGAGAUUUCAAGAUUUCGUAAUUAUAUAAAUAUACAAAAACAUUGUAAACUAAAAAAAAACCUUUCACGAGAAUAUAUAGGUUAAUAAUAGAAUUCUUGUAACGUCGAAAAUUAUACAGAAGAAUAAUUUUCUAGUUCUGAUUAAGGAAACCUGUCAUAACUACCGUGGGACACACACUCCAUUAACAAGUGAACAAAGCCAAUCUGACGGUGUAGAAGAUAACACGUGUCUUGACUUAACGACAAACAUAGAUUCUCCUAACCACCCUUAUUAAUGUUUGAAUCGGGGUAUUCAUUCGCUUUGAAAAUAAACCGGUUUAAUAACCGGAAAAUAAAAACAUGUAAACCGAUCUAAUUUAUGUACCCAGUGUAAAUUUGGUGCUAGAAGCGAACUCGUAUUCACUUUUUUUUUAUUUUUUUUUUCUUUUUUUUUUUUUUUUUAAAGUUGACAAUAGUAAACACCAUAGUCAAAUUACAAAAACAUAUUAAAACUAUACUAGCAAACAAACGAAACUUUCAAAGGUAAUUUUUUCAAUUAGCUAUAUAUUUUAACAUCAAUAAGAUAGCAAACUAAAUGACUCAAAUUGUAUUCUUAUAAUCAAGUUAUAACAUGCUUAAACAAAGAUAAGUGUUCUACUAAAAACCAUUAACACAUAUUGUUAAAAAUGUCAAUUUAAAAAAAAAAACUUAAAUCAAAUUGAUUAAAAAUCAACCGUCCAUCAAUACAAGAACUAAAAAAAGUAGGAAAAGUUAAUCUGGAUACUUAUAUUGGACCUUACCGUAAAAAACUAAAGUUAGUGAAGUGUUUGUUGAACAAAUCUAUUAUUAAAAAUAGUGCGUUGAUGAUAUUUCUCCAAAACAUGAUGUAUCAUGUAUGUACGAGCUGGAGUUUAAUUUUUAAAGCAUGAGGCAAGGCCCUUGCUACUAAAAAUAUACUAAUCAAGAGUCAAGACCGUACAGAAAUAUGUAGAUACAUUUUAAAAAUUUAAAUUCUUAAAUAUAUAUAUAUAUAAAUUGGAAUCCUAUUGAAAUUGAGCCUUCGCCAUUUACAUGAACGCAACAGAUAAACCAAGAUCUAAUCUAUUUCGAGAUAUAAUAUUGAAUCAUAUAAAUAAUUACAAAAAAUGACAAUAUUCAGUAAGUUGGAGGGUAGUGUUAUUUUCACUAUAUAACUCGUGUUAUUUUAGUUGCUUGCUUUCUAAAAUCUUGAUCUUUUUUAAAAAAAAACAUUUUCUAUAAUGCAAGGUUUAACAAUCAAGGAGAAUUAAAGUAGAUUAUUUUAUUGUCAGGAAAAACACUAUUAGUUCAAAAAAAAAAUUAUUGUCAGGAAAAACAUUUAUAUUAUAUUGUCUCUACAAAAGCAAAACCUAGGCAGGCCACUCACUCAUUUGCCCUAAAAGGACUGUGACCCUUAAUUUCACGUAGAUAAUUUUACGUUCCAAACUGGGAAAUAUAGAGUUAGUGAUUUUUAUGCUAUCUUCGAAACUGUGAUACCUACCGGAAAGGAAAAAACUGUGUUAGCAAUUGAAUCCGUGUUACGUUGCUCGUUACUCAUCGAACAAGAACAGAACCUUGCCUCCACAACACCAUUUCUCCAUUGCUUUUUUUCCCCAGAAGAUCUCCUUUUCUCCAUGGACGCACCUGAAGCCCGCCUCCUCGGAGGGUACGUACGGUUUGUGAAGUUUUCCUUCUUCUCUUCUUCGACUUGCGGUUCUCAAUCUUUUUUCAGCCUCACACUUCUCUUUGUGCAGGCUCUUCUUCUGUUGGCUUGAGCUUGUACAGGCUCCAAGAACCAUGUUGAGAGGUUUUUGGGUGGUUUUCCUUCUGUCAUGCAUCGCUUUGCCCGGCGUUUUACCGGAUCAGGUAUUAGAAACAUUUCUUUGAAAUUUUUCUGAUUCGUCUGAAUUUUUUUUCUUAGUUGAUUGUUGUAUUAUAUUACGUAUUAACGUUUUAUUAGUUGAUUCUCGUAUUAUUUGCUGAAAUUUUUCUUCUGAUUAUCUUUUAGUUGAAUAUUGUAUUAUUUUACUAAUAUGUCUGAAUUUUUUUUAGCAGAUAACUUCAGAUGGUGAUAUAGUGGAAUGCGUAGACAAAUUCAGACAACCAGCAUUCGAGAAUCCACUUCUAAAAUAUCACAAAUUACAAGUAAUUUAUUCAAUUUUUUUUAGUUUAAAAAAAAACUUUUAUUUAUGUAAUUUAUGAUUUAUAUCAAUAUUAACCAAUUUUUUGUUUUGUUUUAAUAAAAAUAAUACAGGAUGUACCGUCUGAAAUACCCAAGAUGAUCGGAACUCAAAAGGGGAAAAGACAAACACAAGAAGCUUAUGUCAGUACUACGAAAUGCCCAGACGGAGCUAUCCCGAUCCUAUUGUCCGGUCAUGCCAAAAAUCGGACACAACCUGAGACCAAAGAUUACCACUCCGGACAUGAGGUAAUAAAUUCUACCAUAUAAAACAUUCAAACAACUAAAAAAAAAAAAAGUAAUAGUAAUAAUCAAAGACUCGAUUGGUAUGGUUCAAAAGAACAGUCCUAAUUCUGCACAUAUAAGAAUAAGUAGCAAACAUGAAUUAUAAUCAAGUUACUUUAAUAAUCAUGUUUAAUCUUUGACUAUAUGUAAAUUUGAUAAAUAAUUUGAAACAUGCAAUAAUUUCUUACACCCAUAAUCUGUUCUAUUUCUAUCAAACAUCUAUUUGGUUUAGUAGCCAAUAAUCAUUACAAGAACAUUUCCCAUCUUUAAAAUGAUGAAAAACGAUUCAAUUUCCCUCAACAUAAUCUCUCUACCAUAAACCAGAAACCAUCAAUACACAGUACAGCUAUCUCUUUAGUUAUUGAACCCAAACCGGUUUAGGUUUCACCGUGCCUAUAAGCCCAAAUGCCACGUUCUCUGACUCGUUCCUUUAGAAAGGAGAAGAGUUUUUCUAAAACACAAUUACAAGAAAACAAAUGUGGGUAAUAAGAGCCCAUUUAAAUAUUCAUAAAGGCCCAAUUUAAGAAACAUACCCAACACAUUUCACAGAAGAGAUUUAAUAGCCUCUGUACCGAGAUUACAGUUUUGCAUAUGUGAUGACAUAAGACUAUGAUCCUGCAUCCUAUCAGAUACCUUUCUGCAAUCAUCUACCUCAACCCAUCCAGAAAGCGAUCCGCAUACACAUAAGCAACUAAACUACACUCUAACAUCAUCCCCAGUCUUGAUCUAGUGGCCCAAGAAUGCCAAUUGCUUCUUCCCAGAAACAAGUUAUCCGACAAAGAGAUUAUAUAGUGUGAACUUUUGUUUUUUUUUUUUUUUUGUGUGCACAAUAUAGUGUGAACUUAUCUGAUUGAAAUCCACCAAAAAAACCAUGUCCAAUAAAAAUCUUGUUGCUUCUUUAGGAUAACCCCAUUUGCAUACACAUACACCGAGUUAUCAUCAACGUCCAAGUGACAACAUUUAGUUAGUGAACCAACCGAGUAAAUUGAAAACCCCAUUUGCAUACACAUACACUGAAUAAAAUUGAACUGAAAUCUACGAUCUAAGAUAGAAUCUCUAACUAGUUACAACGACAUAAAGCUUCUGAUGCGGAACCACUUUGAGAAGAUGAGUAAUAUAAUGCUGUUGUUACUGAAACCGGACAUUAACCAUCAAUAACCGAAACAACCCAAUCUCCCAAUAGAGCGUGACUGAGUUUUCCCCAGUGGUAAAUCGCCUUGUGUGAUAAAAGACUUUCCGCUUCUUUUAAAAAUAAUUGGGUAGGACUUUUACAUGAUGAAAACUUUGAGAUUUUGAGAUAAAUUUAGGGGCCAUUUUGCAAAAAUUUAGAAUUCGAUUGUAUGUUCAUCAUUUUUAAUAACAAACAAAAAAUACACCUAAUUCAACUUUGUGUUUCUAUAAUUUAUUUAAAUUAAUCAUUUAAAAAUUACUAACUUGACGAAAGCCCUUCUAACAAAAAAAGAAAAGAGAAUGCCAUACUUUGCAAAAGUUAAAUAUAACAGUACAAAUGCCUAAGUAUAUAUUCUUAUUAAUAAUUAAUUACUGGUUGAAUACAUGCAGUAUGCGAUCGUAUCCUAUGAGGAUAACACGAAGUUGUACGGAACAAAAGCCGUACUCAACGUUUGGGAUCCAGCCAUAGAAGAAGGAGCAGCAGAGAUGUCUCUAGCGCAAAUUUGGAUUGCAUCAGGCGAUUAUGAGACCGCUGAUCUUAACACCAUUGAAGUGGGCUGGCAGGUACGCUUACUUUCAUUUUUAACAUCUUAAUUUUGUUUGUUAUUAACAUACUUAGUUUUAAUUAUAUAUGUAAAACAAACGACUAAAACAGUAAUUUGUUUUCGUUAUUCAAAUAUGCAGGUUCUGCCUCAGAUGUAUAACGACAUCAGGCCUAGGUUAUUCCUCUUUUGGACGGUACGUUUCAUUCUUUAUCACUAUUACUUCAUACUAUAUUCUACUUCUUUUUUUUUUUCCGUUUGAUAACGUUCCAGCACAUAAAUUAUAAUUACAUUUAUUGUUUGCAAUAUGGAUUUCAUAUUUAAUUACUUCAGAGCUAGUAGUAAUACUGUUACAACUUUAAAUAGAUAAAAGAUUAAACGGACCACUACUACUAUAAUUAAGUCUAUAACUGAAUCAUCGAGAACUCUUUAUAGAUCCACUCAGCCUUCCUUUUUUAUCAUCAUUAUAAUUAUAAGAAAAGACAACGGGAUUAAGUAUAUAUUGUUUUUUUUUUGGGCAAAAAGUAUACAUUGUUAAGAAAAUAAUAGUGAACCAAAAAAUGACUGGUUUGUUGAACUGAGUCUUUUAUAGUUUUAUGUGGUUAAGUUGGCAAACUGUUACAAGUUAUAUCUAACUACUAAAUUAAAAUUAAAGAAAAACUUAAAUAACAGUAAAAUAAGUAUUUAAAAUCCACACUUUUUUUGUUGUUGUUUCACACACUUGUAUUCAAAAUAUAAUAUCAAUAUAAAAAUUGAAAACGAAAUUUAGAAGUAACUUCUAUAACUGAUCUUAUCAGUCAAACUCUUAAAUAAAUUUAUAUCAAAUUUGGUAAAUUUUAAAUGUAGUUGUUCUUUUACUAGGUUUUUUGCUGUUUCCAAAAUACUUAUUAUUGUAAUACACUGGUACUAUAAUAUGAUUUUGAAUUAUUUAUGCUAAUAGCAAUGUUUUUGUUUUACAGGGUAAUACAUACCGAAGUGGGUGCUACAACGUCCGCUGCUCUGGUUUUAUCCAAACCAGUGGCAGUAUCGUCGUUGGAGGCCCAAUUGCCCCGGUUUCUUCUUUAGGAGGUAUCCAGACCGAACUUACAGUUUUCGUGUGGAAGGUUAGUAAUUUUAAGAUUUUAUUUUAAAAAUAUGUUUUUGAUAAAAAUAAAAAUUAAUUAGGAAAAAAUAGUUAACGAAUAUAUUUAAGGUUCAAUAAAAGUUAAAUAAUUAAUGUAUAUAUUAAAGGUUUAAUUAGAAAAUUUGUAAAUCAUUACAUGCACGAAGAUGAUUGAACUCACCAUUCUCUAGUAAGAUUUUAUGUAUAUUUACAUUGAAUUUUUAAAUCGUAUGUGAGAAGCUUAUAAUUUCAACUUUGUUAGUAUAGAUUUUAUGUAUAUUUACAUUUUUCUUAUGAAAAUAUUUUUAGACAUAGAUUGUUAACUAACUAACUAAUCAAAAUACAGGAUCGGAAAUCAGGAAACUGGUGGUUAAGUUUAGGCGUUAGCAUAGUAGGAUAUUGGCCAGCCGAACUGUUUACUACACUUGCUGAUCACGCAGCCUACGUACAAUGGGGCGGUGAGAUCCUGAACAAGCAGCCUUUAGGACGACACACGACGACCCAAAUGGGUUCCGGGCAUUUUCCAGACGAAGGUUUUGGGAGAAGCGGUUACUUCAGAAACUUGGAAUACGUUGAUUACAACAACCGGUUAGAGUCAGUCCCAGUCCAAAAGUUGGGCAUCAUAGUAACUAACCCAGAUUGUUACAAGGUCAAGCAUCUAUUUUCAGAUGAUUGGAAGACCCAGUUCUACUAUGGGGGGCCAGGGUUUACCCAUUCAGGAGCUACAUUGGCACUUGCCUCACGCUCUCUAUUUUUCGUUGUAGUUGUAUUACUAUUUCUUAUCGUUUAGUGUAUUUUUUUUCUUAAUUUAUAACUCUUCUGUAAUAUUUAGAGAGAGGAAAAAAACAAUUUGGACAAUGGAAGGACUGUAUGUGUAUGGGUUGAUAGAGAAAUAUUUAGCUAACCACCACACCAUGUAAAGUGAUCGGUUAAUAAAGUAAGUACACGGUAAUCGGUUUCUAUCUAUUACAGACAAGUAAAGUUAUAAUUUGACACCUUCCGUAACUUCUGUAAUAUUCAAAGGUGACAUAUUUUAAAAACAAAUUUAAUCAAAUGAAAUAUUUUUCUUUUAACAAAAAAGACAAGUACUAAACAGCUAAACAAAAAAAGGCAUAUUUUCAAGUUUUUUUUGGAUGAUACCCAAAAAAGAAUCAACUCAGCAAUUCAUAAUCCUGCCUCUUCUCUCUAUUUCCAUCACCCUUAAGGUAUGGUUCUCGCUCACCACCUUUCCCAACGCCUUAAUUAGUCCGGAGCUAAGUGAGCAAUUUGAGCUCCUCUUUCUCUUAAUUUAUUUUAGGGAUCUCAUAUAUAUAUAUAUAUAUAUAUUAGAUUUUGGGUAGUAUAUAUCCUUUUAUAAUGAGUAUUUUUUUUCAAUUGUUAAAGAAGAAGAAAAAAAUCAAAGUUGGAUUGUUUUGUUUGUUUGGAAAGAUGACUGCUAUUUCACACAUGGGAUACGGAUACCACCAACGUAACUGCUGUCUGGUCUCCACGAAUAACGCAAACGUUUCUCACUACUCACUCAUCAUCUUUCCUAACGCAUUAAUUAGUCCGACGCUAAGUUGAACAUGCAGUUUGUGCCAUUUGGGUUCCUCCUCCCCUUUCUCUUGUAUCGUAUUUUUGAAUAUAGAAUCGACUUUUUUUGGGCUAUUUAUCCUUUUAUGAUGAGGUUUUAAUUCUUUACUAUUUUGUGAUACUCAUUAUAUAUAUCUUUUAGUUGUAUUUUUGUUAAGAAGAAAAUAUGUUCUUUAGCUUUAGUUCUUUAGAAAAAAGUAUUUUAUAUGAUUUGGUGUGUUUUUUAAAAAAAAUCUCAAUUUAAUACCACAAGAUUUUAUUUUGACCAUAAUGAUUCUUCCAGAUUUGCCACCAAUAAAUAUUUUGAUUAUAUAUAAAUCAGCUUCUUUACUAUUUUUGAUACUUUGCAAAAAAAAAAAAAAAAAACUAUAUUUGGAGGUUAAUAUAUUUAGUAGAAAGGAGUGGAUAACUGAAGUGACUGAACAAAUAAUAUAUUCAAGAUCAUUGAGUUAUUAUGUUUUUAAAAGCAAUACCAUAUAGUAAAGUAAGUUUUAUUUCGAUAAAUUUAUUAUCUAUUACAAUUGAAAACCAACAACAUAAAAGUCAAUCAUAACAUAAUUCGUCGCUUAAAUCACCAAUUAUAAGAUUUUUUUUUGAUUUUACGCUCUACUGCAACAACAUUUUCCAGUGCUCUGAUUUGGAACACAAUGUCCGGCACGAUAAUGUUUCAUUGCACAGUCAAUAUGGCAUUCAUAAUCUUCAUAAUAUCCUAUCUCACACUUAGCAAAACAGUUCGGUGGUCCUACACAUACAACCCACAACAAAUUAUAUAUUCUUGAUUUUAUAUUUUAGAAAAGAAAAAUAUUUACUAUUGGUCUUAAACUUCUUAAGCAUAGUUACAUAAUGAUAAUAAGAUAGAAGAGAACUCGUAUGUAAUAAAAAUCAUACCUGCUAAAACAUUGAUGUCGGAUAACGAAAUUGUCAAUAUUAUGACAAGAAAAAACGUGACAGAGAUUUUUGUGAUAUUCAUUAUAUAUCCCUUUAGUUUUAUUUCUGUAAUGAAGAAAAAAUGUUCUAUUGCUUUAUAGUUGUUUAGAAGAAGCUGAAUUUAUAGGAUUUUGUGUUUUUAUAAAGAAAACUCAAUUUAAUACCCCAAGAUUUUAUUUUGACCAAAAUGAUUCUCUUGAAUUUGCUACUAAUAAAUAUUUGGAAAUAUAUAUACAUAUAUAUAAUUGAAUCUCUACUAUUUUUAAUGGCAAGUUCAUGGAAAUAUAUUAUAUACAGUAGAAAAACUAUUAUAGAAAUAUAUUUCUGGUCACAAUAUUUUAUAAUUUGGUAGUCAUUUAAAUUUGAUAAGUAUUUUAUAAAAUCAAACUUGAAUAAUAAUAGAAAAAGUUAUAAUAAAAUCCAGCAAAUUAAUUUAUGUGUUAAUUUAUCAUGAAGGAAAAUCUCAGUGGUUUAAUAUUUUUAACGAAAAAUUCAAGUGACCAGUAAAAAGAUAUAUAAUUCACAAUAAGCAAAUUGAUAUCCAUAUCUGGACUUAACGUAGGACUUUCUUUUCACAUUGAGAGUCUGUUUUUUGUUGUUGUUGUUAAGAUUUCUUCGAGUCUCCAACCAACAGUUUUUAACUGAAUAUUCUUGGAGAUUUAUUCUUAAAGGUUUUUUUCUGCAUGAAGCGUCUCAUGGUAAUACUUGUAAACGCAAAGCAUGUGAUGUGACGAGAAUGUGUGAAAGCGAAAUGUCUCAGAAGAGACAACAAUACAUAUACAUACUGUGCUCAAUUCAAUUGCUCACCACAACAUGAAUGGAGACACAAUUCUGCCUAACAAACACGCAACUAUGAUACCCAAAAAAAGAAUCAAACUCAGCAAUCCAUAACCCUACCUCUUCUUUCUAUUCCCAUCACCCUUCAGGCUUCAGGUACGGUUCCGAGGCUAAGUGAGCAAUUUGAGCUCCUCCCCCUUUCUCUUAUUUUAUCUCUUUUGUAUAUAUACUUGACUUACUUUGGGCUAUAGUAUUUACCCUUUUAUAAUGAGUCUUUUUUUUUUUUCUUCUAUUGUUAAAGAAGACAAAAAAAUCAUAGUUGGAUUUUGUUUUUUUUCUUUGGAAAGAUAACUGCUAUUUCACACAUGGGAUACCAACGUAAUAAUGCAAACGUUUUGGUAUUCUUUUCUAUAAUUAUAUAUUUAUAUUCUUCUACCUUAUUGCAAAAUAGAAAAAAAAAACGAGCAAUGAACCCAAAAUUUUGAGUUAAAUAACAAUCAUAACUAUUUUUAAUGCGAUUUAAAGCCACAUCUAUAUUCUUGAUUGUUAAAUUUCACUUAAAAACUGUAUCUAUAGUUGAAGGAUGUUAAUAUACAUUAGUAGAUUAAACGCGGUAUAAUACAUUUUUAAUGUACAUUUGGACGUUAUUACUUAUUACUAUGGUGGAUUAAACAUUUGGAUAAUUAAAGUGAAGGAACAAAUAAUAUAUAUUUGAUUCUAUUUUGUUGAGUAAUUAUGCUUUAACAAAAGCAAUACCAUAUAGUAAAGUUACUUUUAUUUCGAUGAAUUUAGUACACAUUCUAUUUGAAAAUCAACAACUCAAAAAAAAAAAAAAACAUAAUCCAUCCCUUAAAUCACCAAUUAUAAGAAAAUAAUCAAUUUUUAUUUUGGGAAAAUUGAUUUUAAAGGAUGUUUUUUUUUAAAUUUGUCCAUUUAUGCCUUCUUUUUUAAAGUUUGGUAUAUUAGGUUUUAGAAUAGGAAAAUGCUCAAUUAUAUCCUUACUUAAAUUAUAUGGAAAUAAACAUCAAACUUUUUGAAAAAAAAAACAUCAAAUUAGGAAAUUUUCUGUAAGAAAAAAAGAUAUUCUUAAAUCUAAAAAAAUCAAAAACAUAUAUUAUUUUUCCUUUUAAAAAAAAACUCUUCUCAUUUAAUAUUGUAAAAAGGUAAAAAAAACCAAAGAUAGACUCGACGAUGUCAAAAUUUUCUGAAAAAUAAAAACUUCAUUUGUUCGUGAUUAUCAAACCUAAACUAGGAAGAUUGUUUGAGACUAGCUCUUUGAUAUUGUUAGUUUUUAAUUUUUGGUCAAACUCAAGGACUGUAUAUACACCUAACGUUCACUCAAAAUAAAAAUAUAUGAUUUCUAGAUAUUAGGGAAUACAAAAUAUUUUGUUUCCUUUAAUUUAGGAUUCAAUUUCCUUGUAUAAGAUAGUUCUAAAAAUUCGUAGAAUACAUUUUCUAAAAUAUGAAGAACGAAGAGUAAAGUGUAGAAUUGAUGAUCUAACUUUUGCAGAAUAUAGGGUAAAGUGUAGAAAAUAAAUUCUAAAAUUUGUAGAAUAUAGAGUAACAUGUAGAAUACAUAUUCCAAAUUUUGUANNNNNNNNNNNNNNNNNNNNNNNNNNNNNNNNNNNNNNNNNNNNNNNNNNNNNNNNNNNNNNNNNNNNNNNNNNNNNNNNNNNNNNNNNNNNNNNNNNNNNNNNNNNNNNNNNNNNNNNNNNNNNNNNNNNNNNNNNNNNNNNNNNNNNNNNNNNNGUAUUCUAAAUAUUGCAGAAUGAUUUUUUCAAUAUCAAAAUCAACAUACUUUCAUCCAAAACUCUUUUGUUUAACAUUAAAUCUUAUUAAUCUUUAAUUGUUGAUAUGUUUUAAUUUAAAAAUUAAUUAAAAAUUAAUUUUAUUUAUUUAAAAGGGUAAUUUAGGUAUAACUGACAAUUUACCGCAGAAAGCAUAAAAGGACAAAUUUUUAAAAAAACAUUCUUUAAAAUCAAAACCCCCUUUUAUUUUCUAGUACAACAACAUUUUCCAGAUAUCUGAUUUGGAACACAACCUCCAUAAUCAUAUCCUUUCUGUCUACAAUCAAGGAUGCAUUCAUAAUCUUCAUAGUAUCCUUCAGCACACUUAGCAAAACAGUUCGGUCCUACACAUACAACCCACCAAAAAAUUAGAUAUGUUUAAUAUAUUUUGCAUUUAUACACAAUUUUUUCUAAAUAAAUCUUAAAACAUGUACAAAUGGUACCUUUAAGUAUAUAUAUAUAAUAGCUAUUCUCGAUUAUAUAUUUUGAAAAAGUAAAAUAUUUACCCUUGAUCAUAAAAUUAUCAAAAAUAGUUACAUAAUAAUAUUAAUAUAUGAGAAAAUUCUUCUCAUAAAAACAUUCUUAUAAAAAUAUCAUACCUGAAGCGGCUAAAACAUUGUUGCCAGAUAACGAAAUUGUCAAUAUUAUGACAAGAAAAAAAGUGACAGAGACUUUUGUGAUACUCAUUAUAUAUGAUCUUUUAGUUUUCUUUCUGUUGGGAUGAAAAAUAUGUUCUAUAGCUUUAUAGUUCUUUAGAAUAAGCUAUAUUUAUAUGAUUAUUGUGACUUUAAAAAAUUCUCAAUUUAAUACCCCAAGAUUUUAUUUUGACCAUAAUUAUUAUUUCGGAUUUGUUACCAAUAAAUUUUUGGAAAGUAUAUAUAUAUAUAUAAAGUUCAAUAAUUACACAAGAAAAUAUUUUUUAAAAACAGAACUUGAAUAAUAACAAAGAAAUUAUGAAAAAUCUGCAGAUUAAUUUAUGUGUUAACUUUAUCAUGAAGGAAAAUUACAAUGAAUUAAUAUCUUUUAAUUAAAAAUUUAAGUGACCAGAAAGAGAUAUAAUUCAGAAUGGUGUAGUUUAGUGAUAAAUGAGUUGCUUUUAUAUCAAAAGUAUUAAAAUAGCAUAAAUUUUAUACAAACUGUUUUUGUUGUUAAGAUUUCUUUGAAUGUUCAACAAACUGUUUUUAACUGAAUAAUAUUGGAGAUUCAUUUUUUUUUUCAUCAAUAAUAUUGGAGAUUCAUUCUUAAAGGUUUUUGCAUGAAGCGUCUCAUGGUAAUACUUGUAAACGUAAGGCAUGUGAAUAUAUGAUGCGAGGAGAAUGUGUGAAAGCAAAUGUCUCAGAAGAGACAACAAUAUGUGUAUAUACAUAAUGUGUUCAAUUAAAUUGCUUACCAGCUUAUAUAUUAUGCACACAACAGCGAGCCUUUUGACUUUUUAUAGAAGUGAAAAACGAGAAAUUAAAGGGUCAACAAAAUGAAACAUAAAGGAAAGUAAUUACUUUGACAAAUAUUGGAGUAGGUGAUAAAUAAAAAAAGUGCAACAUUUUGGAAUCGAUUCCUUGUAUAUGUUCUAGAAUAGAUAUGAGCUUUUAUCGACUAAUAAAACGCGUCUUGUUGUGAGAUCUCCUGGUCCGUUUCAGUUUAAUUUUGUAUGAACACGAAAAAAUAGUAAUGGCCGAGGGGAAAAGUAAACAUUGGUCAAUGGAAAAGUAAGUGGAAACAAUAAGAGACGAGAAGCUAAAAAAAUAUUGGUGAAAUAUGCAAACUAUUUAAAAAUUGCAAAAAGCUUAUUUUAAAACAUACAUUACAUCAGGACGUAUGUCGUUACGAGUUAUAUGAAUUGAUUAUUUUUUUGUUCGUCAUGAAUUUGAUUAAUUAAGGCACUAGUUGUAGUCGCAAUCCAUAUCCAUGAUCGUUUAAUUAAAAAUCAUUAGUAGACUAAAUAUUCCUUAUAUAGUUAAAGGCACUAUAAUGACACUUCGGUACCUAUCUGAGGUGGGUUUUUUUUUUCUUUCUUUUUUCUUUGUAAUAAUGUAUUUGAUGAUAAUCCUCACUUUUUUGUUCUGUAAAAUAAUUGUAAAGAAAAAAAGAUAAAUAAUAACAUGUUGACAUAUAAUAACGUAUAUUCAAGUUGUGAGAGGAUCAAUCGUUCAAUCUCGGCUGCCAAGUUUGAUCCUCAGAGACACGUCCCCGCAGCCUCAAAAUACAAUUAUUGUCUUUCCUUUUUUAUUUUCUCACUGUAUACAAUUAUUAUUAUAUAUUUUUAAUUUUAUCAUCACAAUUUUUUUUCUUUUUUAACAUCAUUACUAGGCAUGACCACGGUUACGGUUAAUGCGGUUAUGGUUAAUUAACCACCGGUUAACGGUUAUAAUUUUUUAACCAUAACCUUAAUCAUUAUAUAUACGGUUAAGACGGUUACGGUUAUAUACGGUUACGGUUAAUUACGGUUACGGUUAAAUACGGUUACGGUUAUUUGAUGAUUAUUAUAAUAUUAAUAUUGGAGAUAAAAUUUUAUGAAAUAUUAUUUAUUUUACAAGUAAAAAACAUAUUUGAUUUCAAUUAUUUAUAGUGAAUUAGUUAAAUCUGGGUAUUGUAUACAGUUAUAAUAUAAUUUAUUUUAAAAUUUUAAAUAUGCGGUUAACCGAGCGUUUAACCGUACGGUUAACCGACGAUUAAUUACGGUUAAUUAUGGUUACGGUUAAUUAACGGUUACGGUUAUUAUUAUUUUUUAACCGUAACUAAUUUACUUUUACGGUUAACGGUUACAAUUUUUAACCGUUUUAUACGGUUACGGUCCGGUUACGGUUGAUAAACGAUCCGGUUACGGUUAAAAAUACGGUUAAGGUUAGCUUUUGGUCAUGCCUAAUUAUAUCCAUGUAUUAUUAGUAAUUAAUCUAUUACUAAAGAAUGGGGGUAAUUAACAAUUCAGCAAUUUUGACUCUUGUUCUUUUUCAAUUGGUUAUCUAAUUUAACACUCAUAUUCCUGUUUUAUCUUCUAAUCUAUUAUUUAUUUCUUCAUUAAAAAAAAGACUAAAACGACACCAAAAACAAGAAAUACACAACACUUACUUGCUGGCUGAUGAAUUUUUAUUAUUUAUCCAUCAACUUGGUGAAACUGUUUAGGGGGGAAAAAACAUACAAUUGGUAUUGUAGUACUGCAAUUUUUUAGAAUGUGAAAAUCGUUUUAUUUAACAAUGUUUUUUAUAUAUAAAAAGACAAUAAUAGUAUAAGGUAAAAAAAAAAAAAAGAGAGGUAAUGGAUGAAGAGAGGACCUACACGAGAGAGGGUGACUCAGUCCACGUUCUUCUUCUCGAUUUGUCAAUUAGCUCCAAUUUUCAGACUUUUUUUGCAUUUUCAAACUGUUUCUUUCGUUUUCCUCUUUCUCUGGCCUAUAUAAUUCCACUAUCCUCCACUUCUGUGUUUCCAUCAUCAUUCACCUAAGAAAAUAUCUUCUAAGCUCUCAUCCAUCAUUCAACAACUCUCUUCAAUCUACUUCUCUGUUUCCUCUGUUUCCUCUGUUUCUUGAUUGUUGUUGUGUUUAGCUCGGAAGAUAGAUAUGGGAAGUACUCCGGCUGAGUUACCUUGUGAGGAUGUCGCCGAUAACAGAUCCGGCGUUGGCGGUGGUAUCUCUGAUGUCUACGGUGAGGAUUCCGCCACCUUGGACCAGCUCGUCACUCCCUGGGUUACCUCCGUCGCUAGGUUAGUCAACGCUCCUUUAGAUUUCAUACCCUUUUUGUUUUACUUUGAUCUUUCACAGUUUCGUAGCUUAGUAAAGCUGUUUGCAAGUAAAGUUAGCUUUUUUUGUUUAUUUAGUUUAUAAACUUAAAAGCCAAGAAAAUUUCUGUGAAAUAUGAACUUUAGUUUUUUCUUGUCGUUGAAGUUCCAGUUUUUUUUUUCCUGUGGAGCUUUAUAGUGGAUUGAAAUGUUUUUUUUUUUGUAGUGGUUACUCGUUGAUGCGUGAUCCGCGUUACAACAAGGGACUUGCAUUCACUGAUAAAGAAAGAGAUGCUCAUUACUUAACUGGUCUUCUUCCCCCUGUGGUUUUGAGUCAGGAUGUUCAGGUGACUUGGAAAAUGAGCUCACUUUUUGUUCUGUUUUGAUUUGGGUUUCUUUGUGUUGUUAACUUGUGAUUUGCGGUUCAUUUAUUAGGAGAGAAAGCUUAUGCACAAUCUCCGUCAGUACACUGUUCCUCUACAGCGUUACAUGGCCCUCAUGGAUCUUCAGGUCAGUGAUUGUUCUUAGAAACCAUAGUAGAGAAUACGGCCGUUAGUUUUUCUUAUGAAAUGGUAACUUAUGUAUCUGAGUCUUGCAGGAAAGGAACGAGAGGUUGUUCUAUAAGCUUUUGAUUGAUAACGUUGAGGAGUUGCUACCAGUUGUGUACACACCAACAGUUGGUGAGGCUUGCCAGAAGUAUGGGAGCAUUUUCAGGAAGCCACAGGGUCUCUACAUCAGUUUGAAAGAGAAGUAUGUGUUUAAAAUCUUGUUUACCAGGUCACUUUCCAUUUUGUUUCUCUGAAACACUAAAUUGGAAUGUAUGUUCCUUUAGGGGCAAGAUUCUUGAAGUGUUGAAGAACUGGCCCCAGAGAGGGAUCCAAGUUAUCGUUGUUACUGAUGGUGAGCGUAUUCUCGGUCUGGGAGAUCUUGGUUGCCAGGUAAUAAAAUUGGUCCUUGAGUUAGACACUUGAAACUUAUUCCCAUGUUAUGCUGAGGACCUGUAUUUAUCAUUUAUUGUUAACGUUUCCAGGGAAUGGGAAUUCCAGUGGGCAAACUAUCUCUUUACACAGCUUUGGGAGGAAUCCGUCCAUCAGCUGUAAGCACUAGAACAAAGGCUUCAAUAUAUUUGCCUAGAAAUUAGUUAUACUUGAUUGAUUAUUCAAUGACAAUAGUUUGAUCCUAAGUGCAAAUCCGCUUUCAAAUGCAGUGUCUUCCAAUCACCAUUGAUGUUGGUACAAACAAUGAGAAGUUGCUGAAUGAUGAAUUCUACAUCGGCCUUAAACAACGAAGGGCAACUGGCCAGGUUUACUAAUCUUUUUCAUAUUAUUUCUUUCCCUUCUUAUAACUAAUGCAAUGGUCUUUUUUUUUCAAAAACUGACUAGUCUGUUUGCUUUUUUGUUUUCAGGAAUAUGCAGAUUUUCUUCACGAGUUCAUGUGCGCUGUCAAGCAGAACUAUGGAGAGAAAGUGUUGGUACAGGUGAGCCAUGGGAUACAACUCUCUUAAACACUACGGAUUUUGUUAGAGUUAUUCUUUUUCUUAAGAUGUCCCGGAAUAAUAUCAUACAUACUCUUCUUUUCAGUUUGAAGAUUUUGCAAACCACAAUGCAUUUGACCUUUUGUCUAAGUACAGCUCUAGCCAUCUUGUCUUCAAUGACGAUAUCCAGGUAACUUCUUUACCUCAAGAUUUUGAUUCUAUUUCCUUACAUUUUAGUUGAGAUGGGAGAGAGCUUACCAAGAACUUGUUUUUUGUUUUGUGUAAUUGCAGGGUACUGCAUCUGUGGUACUUGCUGGGCUUAUUGCCGCUCAGAAAGUGCUUGGUAAAACCCUGGCUGACCAUACCUUCUUGUUCUUGGGUGCUGGAGAGGUGAGACAGAAGCAUUAUACUCUAUAAGCUUAUCAAUUUGUUUUGCAUAUAUGUUUUGCUGCUUACACUUUAUCUCGCUGGUUCUUUGAAGGCUGGAACCGGUAUUGCUGAGCUAAUUGCUCUUAAGAUUUCAAAAGAGGUUAGUUAAUCUGUUUUUUUUUUCUUACGUUUUCUCUGUUUUCUGCUAAGAAUAUGUGAUUGAUCAUAUCUCGGUUGUUUUGUAGACUGGAGCUCCCAUCAAUGAGACCCGUAAGAAGAUUUGGCUCGUGGACUCCAAGGUAUUGUUGAGAGCCACCCAGAUCAGGCUCAUUCUCUUUAGUUGGAUAAACCUUCUUGGUUUUUAAUGUAUCUCUUUUCAACUUUAUUUGCAGGGACUGAUUGUUAGCUCGCGAAAAGAAUCUCUUCAGCACUUCAAGCAGCCAUGGGCUCAUGAGCACGAACCUGUCAAGAACCUCAUUGGUGCUGUCAAUGUACGUGAUGAGCUCAUCUUUAAGUUUCUUGAUGGGAGAAUAAAGGAUCUUGAUGUCAGAUGUUUUAUUCUUGUGUUCACUCUUUUUUUUUUUUUAAUACUUUUUCAAACAGGCAAUCAAGCCAACUGUUCUCAUUGGAACAUCCGGUGUGGGUCAAACUUUCACAAAGGAAGUUGUUGAGGCCAUGGCUACUAACAACGAGGUUUCUUUUUGUUCUUCCUUUCUGCUUUCUUUCAAAAAACAAGGUUUAUAUGUUAUUGUUCUAAUACUUGUCUUGGUGUUGGCAUAUAGAAACCGUUGAUUCUUGCUCUUUCAAACCCUACUUCUCAAGCUGAGUGUACCGCAGAACAGGCUUACACAUGGACCAAGGUAUACUGUCUCAUAUGACAUCUAAUGUGAUUAAUGUCUGACUCCUGAUUAUUUAAAAAAUCAUAAUUUGGUUUUGUUGCUGCUCUCAUGUCUAAUCAUAUAUUGUGCUUAAUAUAGGGUCGUGCAAUCUUUGGAAGUGGAAGCCCAUUUGAUCCUGUUGAGUACGAUGGCAAAACUUACUUGCCUGGCCAGGUUCGUGCUGUUUCCACAACUCCUUACCUCUCAACUUUAAAUUUUUCUAUGUGACAAUUUGAGUGCUCACAUCAUAUUUCCAUAAUCCUACUUCACUCAGGCAAACAAUUGCUACAUUUUCCCGGGUUUGGGUCUUGGUUUGAUCAUGUCCGGUGCUAUCCGUGUCCGUGAUGACAUGCUCCUUGCAGCUUGUAAGUAAAAAUAAACACCAUAAAAUCAAACUUGGAUACUGAUGAGUUGUUGUGACAGUCAUUUACAAGAUUCUCAAUGUAACUAUCUCUAACUUGUCUCUCUCUGUUUUCAACAGCUGAAGCAUUGGCAGCACAAGUCACAGAAGAGCAUUUCGCCAACGGUCUGAUCUACCCACCAUUCUCAAACAUCAGAGAGAUCUCAGCUAACAUUGCAGCCAGUGUUGCCGCCAAAACCUAUGACCUCGGUUAGUUGAAUGAAACUGUCUUAACACUUUUAAUGAGACCGUCUUAACUCUAAUCUCAAGGUUCUAAAUCAAUGUAUUUGUGGUAUAGGAUUGGCGUCUAACCUCCCACGUGCAAAGGAUCUGGUCAAGUUUGCAGAGAGCAGCAUGUACAGCCCUGUCUACAGAAACUACCGUUAAAAAAAAGUUUUGUUGAAGAAACACCUGCAGAUUCUCCUAUUCAGAACCCUUAAUAAUAGUUCUUCUUGAAGCUUGUAUUGAGUUUUAUUGUUGCUUGUUCGUUUGAUUUCUACUUCUUCUUCUUCAUUCUGAUGUUGUUUAAGAACUCUCUUUGUAUUUUGCUGAUGAAUAAUAAAUUUUCUAAUUACUACUAUAAUCUUCCCAUCAUUUAUUUGUCUAAAACAUUUCCAACCCCCACUGAGAACACAAUCAACUUAUGCUUUAUCCUGGUUUAGAAUUUCUUUUGUACUCUUCAUAGCCUCAAAGUUCUGAAACUAAGGAACUUCAACUGUUGCUAAAAUAAACGAAUAUGUAUAGAUUUUUUCAUUACUUCGUUUAAAAGAGUUCAUCAAAGUACUUACUUUUCAUUACUUUGUCUUAAAAUCAAAAGCUCAAACCAAAUUUGUUGAAAUGGGGUAAAAUCACUCAAAUUUUGAUUGCGAGCGAAAUUGAAAUUAAGAAAUAAGUUGAGGGAGUAAAUAAUGGUUAAAAAGGUUUUAAGAAAAAACACGUUUGGUUUAAUAAACCGCGUGAUCAUCUCUCUUUCUCUUCUGGAAUAAGCGAGAAGCUCUAAAUCUCAUCUCUCGUCCCUUUUAUUAUAACUUUCAUCUUCUUCUUCUCCAAUCUCUCCUCCGAUCAAAUCCAUUUUUUUUUUUAGCUAUCGACAGAGGUAUGUAAAUUUCGAAUUCUCUGCUUUUCCGGAAAACUCUACUAGCGUUCUGAUCAGAUGCGGCGCGAAUAGUGCAGGCUUGCUUGAAACUACCAAAUUUUGGGUCGUUCUGUGGCUUGUUUCUUAUUGCUGCUAUCAGAUUUUGAUUCUCUUAGAAUUAAGGGAUUUUACAUGUUCUCUUCGUAUGAUUGAUUAUGUCUUGUCAGUUAUUAUGGACUAACCUAGGUUUUGUUUCUAUUACCAGUGCUUUGAUUUUGUUCAAUCGGCUCUGGUUACCUCGAUCUAUGAAUUUCGAUUGCUGAUUUGAAUUGAGUAAUAGAGGCAAUUGUAACAUAACGUGUGUUAUGCCAUGAAUUUAUGAACAAGGGAAUCCUGGGUUUAACUUUUCAUGUUGAGAUUACGAACCUUGGAAUUGACUUCUGUUAACUAAUGUCUUUGGAACUUGUUUACACUCUCGUUUGUAUGAUCAAUUAAUAAUAAUCUUACAUGGUGAUCAGGUUUACACAGAGAAGCAGAACAGAACAAGGAAUUAUAUAAUCAUUCGUUUACCCAAUCUGAACUGCAGCUCAUGGCGCUUAACCCUCAAUUGCUACCCAAUGGGAUGCCGGUUCCCUUUGUUAAUGAAAUGUUCGUUCUAGUCAGAGAUGGUGUUGAGUUUGAAGUCAACAAGAUCCCUGGGUUCGUGUUCCCUUCUCUUUAUCUUUCUUGUUUUUAUUCACUGUGGGUUUGAUUCCAUAACUACUGUGAGUUUCCAAUUUAUAGUAUCGUUUUAGAUGUUUUGGAUCGGUUUUGAGCUAAAAAAGAGCCAAUAAGUUUACUUGUAAAUUAGAUAAGUCUCAGAGCUGUGGGUGUUAAACACUUCCCUAAUGUUCUUAUAUUUUGUUUGAUCCAGAGGGCAUGGAGGUCAGGUUAAGUCCAAGGGAGUGAUUUACUUGUCCAAUAUACGGAUGGUCAUUGUUGCAAGCAAGCCUGUUGAGAACUUUGUUGCUUUUGACAUGCCCCUGGUACAGUAACUUUAUCUGAUGCUUCUCUCUUAUUCAGUUUAUACUAGCUACAAGUAUAUGUUACUAUAUACUACAUGUUAGCUUAUGGACUAUAUGUUACUCUGUAGCUUUUCAUCCAUGCUGAGAAAUUCAAUCAGCCAAUAUUUCACUGCAACAACAUUGCUGGACACGUGGAGCCUGUAAGUAGAAACUUUCAUGUGGAAUUACAAUUUGAAUCCUUGCCAUGAAAUUAGUGUAUACUUAGUGGCAUGUAAUAAUAUUUUCAGGUGGUGCCAGAAAACGAGCAUAGAGCUCUAUACUCAACACACAAUUUCAAGAUCCUGUUCAAGGAAGGUGGUUGUGGGACGUUUGUUCCUCUCUUUCUGAAUCUCAUAUCAUCAGUGAGACAAUACAAUCGACAAAUGCAACAAGCAGCAGAAGCAGCGGCGGCAGCUCCACGAGUUGAUCCUCUUCAAGCCGCUCAGACCCCUGUGGAUGAAAUGAUGAGACAUGCGUAAGUCCCCUCUAAAUCAAAGCUUCUGUUUUGAUAGAGUACUAAAAAGCUGUUGUUUCUGAAAGUCGCACGUGUGGUCAUUGUGUGUAUUUGCAGGUACGUGGACCCUAAUGAUCCAACGAGGAUAUAUUUGCAGCAGCCAUCAGGGGAAUCUCAGUUGAGGCGGAGAGCUUACCAUCCGGGUGCAGCGGAACAUUGACAUUGUCAUACACGAAAAACACACAAAGGCUAUGGAUACAUAAAUACCUAAGGGACUAGUGUUGCAAAUAAGCAAAGGUGUAGUUGGUUUUAUGUUAACCUUGGAAACUAAACGACUUGUGUAAUGAGAAAGACGAGACUUGUUGGGCGUGUGAGUUGUAUCUGUGUGACAGUUGGAUUCAUAUAAUAAUUUGAAAGUUUGGUAUACAUGUCGCACAAAUGAACAAUUACAACACGUCAACCUUAGAAGUAAUCGCAAACAAACGAAGAUGACAGAAGCUUGGGAAGUAUAGUGUUACUUACUAUUGUUGACAAAAAAAAAAAAACCGGUUUGAUUCGGUUUGAUACAAGAAUCUUGUGAAUGGACGACAAAAUUGUAACCUCAGCUCAGGCACCAUAGCAUUUGAUUUUGUGUUCAGCCCGAGUUUUAAGAUUGGGCGCCUUUGAAAUUAAACAACCCAAAGUUACGCCUUUGAAAUUAAACAACCCAAAGUUACUUUUGGAGUGAGGAUCUUAUAUGUUGAACCUUUUUGACUCAUAAACCCCAGUUUCGAGGGCUCUGAGUACGCUACGCACGUCUCCAAUUUAGGUCAGUAGAAUCUGCUUCUUCUCCCUGGUUAGUGUGUCAUUUAAUCUCCGUUUUGUUUGCUCUUGAUCGAAACAUCUUAGAUUUGUGCCUUUGAUGUAUUUUCUGGUAUUUGGAUUCUUGUGCUGAGCUCAAUUGAAGUUCCGAUAUCCUUGAUAGAAAUGUUGAAGCUCUGAUUCGUUUACUCCAAUAGAUUAUCCAGCGGUUUAGCCCUUUUUCACAUUUGCAGCUUUUUAUGCGGUUGUGUUCAUAGUUUGUUCUUAAGAUUUUGAAUCAUCCAGCUGUGUUGUGUCUCUUACCUUCCUAUGUAGCAACCAGGCUUCUCACUGAUUUGUAAUAAAGUUGAAUAAUGGUGUCUUAGCCCGAUAGGGAUCAACCCUUCAGCUUCUUCUUUUAUGUUCUUAAUUCCAAACUCUUUUGAGGGUGUUUUGCAGCAACGAGGAUUCAUAUUGAUUGAUGGACACCCAUAAAGAAUCUCGGGAUCGUGGCCUUUACGGUUUAGUCAAUAAAAUUGGUUAUGCAUUUGGAAUGGGAGCUAUUGGAGGUUCUGUAUAUCAUUUCAUAAAAGGGGCAUACAAUUCCCCAAUAGGUGGUCGUUUGGUCGGAGGUGCACAAGCAGCGAACAUGAAUGCUCCUCGUUUGGGAGGCAGAUUUGCUGCAUACGGAGGCUUGUUCUCAGCAUUUGACUGCACACUGGUGUACAUCAGGAAGAAGGAAGAUCCAUGGAACUCAAUCAUGGCAGGUGCUGCUACAGGAGGGUUUCUUUCUCUGCGGCACGGGAUUGUUGCAGCUUCUACAUCAGCGGUUAUGGGAGGGGUUUUGUUUGGUUUGUUCACAGGGUCUGCGUUAAUGAACAAGUAAAGCUUUUUUGGGUUGUGAUUGUUGACUGAUGACUAAUGAGAGCCUCUCUCUCUCUCUCUCUCUGGGUUGUGUUUGAUGCGUUUUCUAAAAUUUUCGCGUUUAGAUCUUCAUGGUCCUUACUAAAAUGUACUCCAAAGUAACUAUUUCAUCAGUAUUAAUAGAUUUUGUAGCACGACUAUGUUGGAUAUCUUCCGAUCAUUUUUGUGUAAACAUUAUCAAGGAUAUACUUUUGGAUCUUCAAGUGUUUUUACUACAUUCAAUAAGUUCAUUUUUAAAAUUAACGUAAAGCAGAUGAGAUCUCUGGCCAAACCAUUUGGGAAGAAGAGUAAGACAGAAAGAAGAAGGAAUGAGUCGUCACCAAUGUGUAAUGAAGAGGUCAUUGAGCUUAAAAGUCAAAAGUCAACUUUUCACUGAUUUUGAACAUUCUGAUUAAUCCUUGAGAAAGUACAAAGACUGCACACACCAGAUUAAGAACCAAAUCCAUUUCUUGUCAAUAUACACCAAAAUAAAAACAACUCAAAGUGUACUGAGGCAGAUAUAAUAAGCACAGCCUCAAGUAGAUCGAUCAUUUGGUUUCUCACUUAUUUACAUACAACCCUUAAGAGGAUCUUCACCCAUAACCAACACGACCAUCCACUCAAAACCAAAACAAAACCAAGACCCCAUGGAACCCAACCAGGAUCUUUAGAUUACAGGUUUUGUCCCUAAUUAUAUCCCUCAAAUAAACUUGUUUUCUUUUUCUUUUUUUCUUUUGCUUAAAAAUCAGCGUUCCUUCUCUUUUGUACCCUAAUUCUAUUCACCUGAAGUAAUAGAAUUACAAGAAGAGAAACAAACAAAACAAAAAAAAACAAACUGAAAUCCCCACUCCAAACUGGGGCAGGACUGUUUUUAGUUGUUCUGAGGAAAAUUACCUGACAAGACUUUGUCACGACUGCCAAAAAAGCUCAAAAUCCUUACUAUACAAUGAGCGGUCUUGUAUCUCCAAGUUUGCUACAUGUCGAUUUAUGAGUUGCGACUGCAUUAUCUUACACGCGACCAAUCCUGCUGGGAAUAUCCACCAUUCACUUUCACCCCUGCAUCCCCAAAACCGCUCAAACAUCGCAAACCCAAUAGACCAAAACAUAAGAAUACAUAGAGAGAGACUCUUUUUAAGUAUUACUUUGCAUAGUAGUAAAACUCACAUGUUUAUAUUCCAUGGCUGAAAUGGAGUUUUCUUGCUGGCUGAUGAUUCACUAUUAUAAUGAACAUAUCCGCAGAGGAAAGCUACAAACUGUCACAAAAUCAAAAUUUGUCAGAUAACGUGAGAUAUGUCAUGUCCGCAUAUCUAAAGAAUCGACCCAUAAUGUCCACAGAUAUAACAAAUAUAUUCAUCCUCAUGUGAAAUGAACCACAAAUUUCAUAUUGCAUUUCUCCACAAAAUAGGUUGUCAACAAUGCAAACUUACCACAUUGACUAAGGACAUGAAGUUCCACAAAGCGUAUACACGUGCUAAGCCAGCAGAACGCCUGGGUCCAUGGCUGAAUAAGGCAUUGAUCCCAGCAGGGAAUGGUAGAAGCAAGCCGAGCGGUAAUAUAAACAAAGCCAACAGUACAUCCAGCAAAGAAAUCGAAUAUAGCUGGAGCAGUGUGAGCAAGACUAAACUAAAAUCUCCUAAAAGUAACAUUGAGAUAACUAAGCCAACCAUAUCCUGCAAUAUCACAAAGAUAACAGAGGAAAGAGACAUUAAUAACUCUAGAAAAGAAAAGUUGGAUGUCACAGCAUUUAAAUACAUUCAUACCAUAAGGAUUUUGAUUGGGAAGUACCUGGUGACCCACUGGUUUAGUGUUGUGAACUAAGAAAGAGAGAAGGAAAAACAUAUCUCUCUUCUCUUUCAGACUCGGUAAGCUGUCAAGGUCGAUUAUCCCUCCAUAGUUCUUUCUGCGUGUUGUAUAAUCAUCACUGUUUAUAUGGGUUUGGUUGAAGAGCAUACUCUCUCUUAAAUGUGCUUGAGAGUUUUCUUUAUGUGCAUGCACACCAUACCUAGGAGUUACAAAAAACAGGACAUCAAAAUUCCGCAUAACUAGAUACGAAGUGCACAGCGAAAACAUGCUAAAAUGUGACACCACAAAAGAAAUCUUAAAACUCUAAAGUGAUCAACAGAUAGAAUAGUGGUCAUCUUGUUUAUCUAGAUUUCUCAGUUCAUAUUUUAUAUUAGGCUUAAAACAAUACAACACACUUAAAAGAAAGAACAGUAUCGUGAAGAUUGCUUUUCACCAUGAAUGGAUUGGAUGUAAUUUCACAUUCAUUUACCGUGGUUGGAUAUCAGUCCAUGCUGUUUCACUGACACACUGAGGUGAUGUUGGUUCACAAUCCUCAAGAGUAUGAAUCAGGAGACCAUAUUGGCAGUAACCGCAAGCUGUAGUCUGAAACCAGGCCAGAUCAACCCGUAUGCAAUGUGUCUCUAGAGCAGGAUUAGCAUGAGUUUCUAACCAUCUCAAAACAGAAUGAAAAGUUGAUCUCAGACGCCCACGGCGAACAAGGCGUAAUUGAGCAUUUACACCAGCCACCAGUCUGUACCAAGUAGUGGGCGGGACGAGCUGGAAAUGUAAACAAUGACAAAGAAUCAAUGCAACCUUUAACAUAACUGCUAAAACUGCUUACGUAACCUAAAGCACUAACCUGACUCAUCAGACUGGUAAGAAUGUUGUCAUUUUGAAGUGAGAAAGGAGCCAUGUAACUGCCAUCACCACCAAACAAUAUGGGCAUAGGAAACCUUUGAUGAAGCCGAGGUGGAAGGUCCAUCCUUUUUUCAUCCCCACCAAGAAAGAAAUCCAGAUACGCAAGCAUCAAAUCGGAGGUUGCAGCGACCUAUAUUCAAAAAUAUAUAUAAUACUAAAUCUUAUAACAACAAAACCUUGAAGGGAAUGAGAUUUUCUCAAAAUCUGUUGUGUUGAGGAACUAUGGGAUCAAAUAAAUCAUCAAUAAAUUACCUUCAGACCCUCGUAUAAAGCUCGGGAGCGACAGGAGCGUAAACAGGAAUGGUCAUAUUCUGAACGUACAAACUCACGUAAUUUUUGCAACUUCAGCUUCCGCCGCCAUUGCUGCCAUGACCAUGCGAGUGGAUAUGCAACUACUGAAAGAAUACUAUAUAUUGCACCUUCCCACCAUUGAUAUGCAGCUAUAGAGUUGAUUUCGUCGACAAAUGUGUUAAACGCAGCCUCAUAUCUAAAGAACCCAAAACCAAUAUAAGAAUAUUUCAGAGCCAAGGCCACUUAUUAAGUAUCUAUUGACAAAACAAUAUGAACAAUUCUCAAUCUGCUUGAAGAUAAAAUAAGAAACAACUAACACUAUCUCUUUUAUCUCCUCCGGGGGAAUGUGCGAGAGAUGCCACGGCUCACUGAAUGUAUUAGGACCCAUAAAAUACAUUCUAUGCACAUGACUCUGAGAUUGCUCAGCUCUAUUUGUUUCCAACACCUGGCAAAGAAUAACAUUAUAAACAGCAGCACAACACUAUAAUAUAAGGAGUGUCUGGCAGGUUAUUUCACUCAAUCAUGUCUGCUGGACAAACAAUACUUGCAUCUGGGGUGAAACAUCAGCGAAUACUAAAAUCAUUAUUUAGAUCGAAUGUUUACAGACAAAUAAAAUCAUCUAACCUCAUUUAGUGAUUCCAGGAAAGGGAAGGAAUGAUCUAUUUGUGAGCCAUGCUGAGUGGGAGCAGGGCCAGGUAGAUCAUCAACUCCAACAAAUUUCAUCCGUGCAACACUAAGUACAAGUGCUAAGAGGAUGAGGAGACCCAUCAGAAGGAGACCAAACAACCAAGGCCCACCAAAUGUGUAAAUUAACUCCUCGAGCGCGGUGUAACAGUGUGGCAUGUGAUACCUUUCCGAUAUGCAUCGAUAUGGACAUGGUGUCUCAGAAACACCACCUGUGUAGCAAAUUCCAAGGUUUAUAGUUGAGACAUGAGCCUUUCCAGCACCAGUUUACAGGCACUAAAAACCAUAUCAUGAUUUAAAUUUUCAACCACAGUUAAAAUCUACAUACUUGGUAGUUGAAUAACUUAAUCAGAAUCGUGGCAAAAUGAAUAGAAACGAUUUAUUUAGUUGAACGGAAAACAAAACUUGUCACUGAAAGUUAGGAAAAAAGUUAUAGUGCAUAUGUAAUAGACAAUAGCUAAAGAUAUAAGUGGAUGCUAUUUAUACCUCGAACUGGGACAUAGACAGCACGAGUUGGAAGCUCAUCAACAGGACAACGACGACAAAGUGAAGGGUCCGAUCCAGUAACAUUUUUGAAUGUACCAGAUGGGCAUUCCUGAAGAAAAUAAUAGAAUUGUGAAUACAAUGAGCUUCGAAAACUACAGUAGAAAUUCAACUGUGAUAAGGAAACUAAAGGCAAAUAGAAAAAUGUCACCCCUGUGAUCUGACAGAGCAGGAAAGUGUUAAACCGUUUUUUUCCUAACCUUACAAAAUAUACCAUGGAGUCCUUUCGGACAAUCUGUCCCAGUUAUUGUGCCAUUUUUGCCCAAAAACUCAUCAUCCACUGCCGCUCCCCCUCUACGAUUACAAUACAAAAAUUGUAAAUGUGAUAGGCUGGAAAACGAUAUCCAAAAAUAAAUGGAUAUGGGAAAUGCAGUAAAUGACGGGAAACACACAUUAAUUAUCAUGGGAAAUGCAGAGGUAUAUAGAGGACAUACCGUGCAUGAAUUAUUCCUUUUACACUAGCAAUUGGCUGGUAUAUGUCUCCAGUGGGAAUGUUUGACCAAUGAAAAUGAAUCCUCCCACCUCCGCCGCCACCACUACCAGCAGGACUGCCAGACCCACCACCACUUGAGAGAAGAGACGACUCUCCUAACAUAAGAUAACGCAGGAACAAAAGGACUGUUCCACCAGAACCACCUCCAGGUGCUUGAAUAGACCCGUUUUCAUCUCUACUCAAACGUUUGACACUUUCUCCAUCAACCCUAAUAGAGCCUUCAAGUGAUAAACCAGAUAGAGGUUGCUCCAUCGAACCAAUCACUGACCAGAUUCAAAGGAAAAGAGAGAACAGUUUAAACGGUUUUAUCUUGAAAGCAAUAAGCUCUCAGAGCAACCACAUGUAAGCACGGUAGUGUAUGGACUAAAUAAUGUCAAGAUUCUACAACGUUUAACGGGCUACGAACCAUACACUUGUAAUAAAAUUACAAUGUAUAAUUUGCAAAUAUUUGACACAUGAAAUAUGAAUAUAGUCAUUAGAAGCUUGACUACAUCAGACAUUUGCAUCAAGUCAUACGAUGACACAACCUAUCCUCUCAAGUUUAAUGGAGCAGAAUCAAUCAAAUUUUCUGACGUUUCAUACCUACAAUACCACCACCAGCAGAUGAAUAACCAGGGCUAUAAUCACCACUUCCACUGCCAAGCUCACAAGGGAGAUUUGCAUUUCCAUAUGUAAUUCCACCUUCAACACAGCUGUUAUUGUAACAUACACGCCCCCCCUUACCACCAUGCCCACCACCACUGCCAAUGCCAUUUCCGAGCAAUUUACCUUCACCUACACCACCUCUACAACCUGUGAAACACAUUUAAACAUAUGUAUGUUUUUACGAAACAUAUUAAAAGAACGUAGGAUCAUAUCUUCUUUCUCCCUAUACGGAGGUAGCACCUUAAAUCGUAUAUUGAGGGAGUAGGCCCAGGACAUGCCCAUAAGAAAUGUAAAAGUCCAAAAGUAUAUAGUUAUUGUUACCCAUUCCACUGGCACUAAUCUCCCCAGAGGUUUCAAGGGUUACAGUUUUUGCUCGGUGGAAAUGAACUACUGAUCCUUUAAUGAAACCUUCGACAAGAAUAUCCUCAACUCGGCAUAUCUAGAAAGAAAGAAAGUUACCAGACUUAUCAUGCAAGAUCUUAAAAUACUAGUUAAAGAAAGGUAGAAAUACCUGUAGGGUAAAGGACAAAGAUGAAUUGACAUUGCAAUCCUCUGGAGGAUUCAGUAGUUCAUAAGGGCAAUCUUGCCGUUCACAAUAGAGCUUUGGGGUACUGCAAAGGAUGGGAGUUCAAAUAUUGUUAGCUGUUUAUAUAUCCGAUGAAUAAUGCAAUCAAACUACGUAUAGAUGGCAUUUUCCUUCAAACUCACACAGCAUCUCGGGACGCAUUCUGCAGAGGAGCACGCAAAAUGGACCCAGGCCCGACCUUCAAAUGCCAGGGAAAAAAAAAUCAGUAACUCCUACAUGGCUAAAUCAAAUACCUUUCUAUAUCUGCUAUAUUAAAGCCAAUAGGGACUUUAAAGGAGACUGAUUGUCAAAUUAUGCCUGUAUCGUCACAUUUUCAGAGCUAACAGACACUAUCUUUGAUUCUGCACAAAAUACAGGAUGUAACCCAAUGCAGGAUUGUUACCAAACUAACACACUGACUUACAUAAAUCCGGUAAAACAGUGACAAAACAAGCCGUUGUGCUUCAAUCGAAUCCCCUGGUCCGGUUAGAUUCAAGAAACCUUGUCCAUGGACUCCAAGAUUUGCAUUUGAGCGGAUGACAGAUGAUCCCUAUAUUUAGAUAGAGAGGUCAUACAAACAAAUUAGAUGCCUCGGUAUGUCACAAAUUACUUGAAGAAGAAAAACAAUGACAUGAAUUAGUGAGUACCCUAAGAACGAAUAAAUUGCUAGCCUCAAGUAUGGAAGUCGCAACACUUGGAUCUCCCCCUCCUCCAUCUAUAUGCAAUUCUGAAUUCCACAUCAAGAACAUCUUGACAGUCAUUCUUAAUGCCCCAUAGACCUGGUACAUACCAAUAAACAUAAACAUAAUGAACAAGUGAUUCACAUGAAUACCAAAAUAGAUUAUGGAGUAUGACAAAAGGCCAGGUAAACCAAGAAUGAAGCAGAUAUUAGAAACACAAAGAAAUAUUUAUAUCUGGCAUAGACGGAUACAGUGCUGUGUCGCUAUUGCCGAAAAAAGUGGAGAAUCAGGAUAAGAAUUACCUUGAUAGUAGAAUCACUCAUUAAGAGUUCUUCCGCCAAUAACUCAAAUACUGAUGUACCAUAAUGAGCUAAGCCAAAGCUCAAAACACCACCACACAAUAAACUAAUUUGUCCUUGAACCUACAUAAUGAGUUCUGUUUGAGUACUACGUCUUCAAUUAUGCAAAAUAAUAUGCUGAAACACAGGAGAUUCCACUAUAUACUUUUAAGAAACGUAUAUAGAGUAGAAAAAAGGAUACUAGAGUGGCAGAAAGAAAAUAAACAAAGCCUCACAGAUUGUGGUAAUAUAAACAUAGCAAGGUGAUAAAUCAGUUUGUCUACAAAGAGUACUGAAAAUUAUUUUCGACAUACCUGGACACGACUCCAUAACAGAGGACAAGUUGCUCGCGCUUUAUCCUGAAUAUAAACAUUGGUCCAAAGUGGCUGGAAAGGAAAUUCUAAGAGAAGCGUAUAAGUGUCUGUCGUCAUGUUGUAGUUGCUCACGAAUAGGCUUCGGGGAACAGCAUCAUAUAGCGUCCCAGCAGCACCUGCGUUAUCUGGACAACCGAUACUAUAUCCGCCUGUGUAUAGGAAGAAUAAGAUCAGUUCACAUGAUUGUAGAUGUUAGGCAAGUACGUAUUGGAUAUAGUGGCUCAAAACAAAAACAAAAAUUAGAUAAAAUGUGCAGAUGUAAAGAAGCUAACCAUGCACAAAGAUCUUUGGGUCAUCAUGCCUGCUAAAGAUAUCGACAGAUACUCUUCCACCACCCCCACCACCAUAACCACUCCCACCACAUGCACUGAUCAGUCCAAUUCCAGUCCUGCACUUCACAGAACAGCAAAGCAGAGGAUGCUAGCUGAGAUCAAUUUAUCAAGAAUCUAAGAAGACAAAAGCCUCACUACCACCCAUUAAAAUUAGCAAAGACAAUGAAUUGUUCACGUGUACCAUACAACAGCAAACAACACAUCUUGAAGAAUUAGGAGCAAGAUCUAAAAUCUUUCAAAAGUAAUGUCAUAAACAAGAUCAUCACUUAAUCGCAUAUUUCCAAUUGAAAACAGAAACUCAUAUGCACAGUACUAGAAAUUUUUACUGUGAAAGGAAACUGCAAUUGUGUUUCAUAUCUCAAAACUCGACUUGCCCUACGCUAGGAUUAUGAUCUUGAGAAACAAUCAGGACCAAACAAGUAUUGCAAAGUUUGCCUUCUCAGCUGCCUAGAAAGAUCUAAUAUAUAUGCCUUUAAUCAAAUCGAAUAGCUAGUGAAAGAGAGCAUAGAAACGAAAGUUCAUUACAUCUUGUAUGCCUUGAUGUAGAUGCUGCCCCCAGCCCCACCACCGCCUUUUGCUCCUCCAUAACCUCCAUUUGCCAAAAUGCUUCCGUUAACAUCCAGAAGCUGCAGAAUAUCCAUCUUCACUUUCCCACCUCCUCCUCCUCCAUAAUCAAUCUCUCUGCUCGUUGACCCUCCUUUACUACCAUAGCUCCACGGCCUCUGCAGAGUGGACCACGAGUAUGCAUCACCUCCCCACACAUCUUCAGGGAGCUUCUUAGUGUCAGUCAAACAGCAAGCGCCUCUACCACCAUGUCCACCACCAGCACCAUCAAUCCCCUGCGGCGUCCCACUAGUCUGUGGCGGAGGGUUCCCAGCUAAUCCCGUGGUGUUCACAGCCGACCCGUUAGCAAAACUAGCAUUACCAGCUGAAAGCUCCAAUGUUCCAGCGACAAUUGUAGAUUCCGCACCCAAAGAAAAGUUUCCAGAAACAUUGAUAGCUAUAGAGCAACCAGGGAAUGGACAGUGAAACUUGACACCAGGCAGGAUGAUAAAAUUACCCUUCCCAGCUAUAUACACAUCGUGCGUAAGGUUCAAAUCGGCGACAAUCUUACAAGUGGUAUCCAAAAACCCAACGCCGCCGAGAUCCUCGUUACAAGAUACCGACGGUCCGUGCGGUGGUGGCGGUGGUGGAGCAGGCGGAGAGUAAUCCUGAUGGAAAAGCAACGACUCUGAAUCGGAGUCCAAAUUCGAAUCAGAACCCGAAUUCGGUUCCACAAUGGUAAAUCGAUAGCUUGAACUAGGGUUUACGGCCAAAACCGCAACAAGGACCAAGGAGAAGACGAAUUGGAAAUGAAAUCGAGCCAUCCACUAGUAUCAAUAGUCAUCACAGACGAAGUCAAGUAAGGUUUUCGAUUCGACCCCAAUUCGGGUCAUUGAGCAAUAGAGGUUGAAGAACUGAUGAAAUCAAAACAAAAACCCAAAUUCACAAAACCAACCCUCUCUUCUGUUCUAUCUCCACCACACGACACUUAUGACUUAUGCAUAAAUCAACAUAGGCAUGAAUGCGUUUUCAGUCGUCUUGUUGAAGAAGAAGAAGAUAUGAAGAAGAAAAAGCGCAUAAACAUUCAGCGUAAAAUGGGACUCUUUAGAGAGAGAAGUGGUGCUUUUCCUUUCUCGGAGGAGAGAGAAAGAGAGGGAAGGGGGAGCUUCCAAGAAGAAAGAAACACAGGUUGGAACGGAGAGUUGUUAGGAUCAGGUACGUGCGACUUCACUGUAAUCAGCUAGAUUUUAGCUAAUCGUCUUUCGCCACGUCAUUUAUUUAGAUUGCUCCAAAAGGCAACGCUGCUGUGCAUCGUGGUUCACAUGGACUGGAUGUGUCAGCGGUAUCUGAAUUUAUUUUCUUACCGAAUCAAAUUGCGACACAUGUCGUGUUACGUUUAAUUACUGGAUUUGCUGUUGGAUUAAGUAGUUAAUUAAUGACGUCUUGGCUUUUAAAAUUUAAAAGUUUAAACCGUCAGGAAUUACGUUCGGACAGUUAAAGGUGCCCGUUUAGAAUUGGGCUUUGAUGGGCCAUGUUUCUUCCCAUGGGGUACAUAAACACGCGCCAAGCUUUGAGCGUGCGAGUGUUUGAUUUUGGAGAAACAACAAGAGAAUGCUAAGUAAAAAACAAAUUUAAACAAAUCUGGCUGGCCCAAUAGAAAACUAGCAGCAUUAUCAUCACCAAUUUAAAAAAAAAAAAUCAUCGAAACCAAUCUUUUAAUCAGUUCGAUUUUUACGUUAUGGAAUCUGGAUCACAACCCCCUCAUUGUUUGAAAUGGAGAAUGGUAUGUAUAUAUGCUUCAGGGUAUUGGUGUGUAUGCUAACAGCUUAUAGCUUCAAAAACAUCUGAAAUGUUUCUUGAUGAGGAUGUAUUACAUGGGACAUGGCUUGGGAGUUGGGAAGACUAUGUUUAGAGUAAGAGAUUGUGCAUGGUCAACAUAGACCAAUCUAAACUAGUGGGAUACGUAUAUAAUUUGAUAUUACGUGAAGUAAUUGAUUGGUAAGUUUGGUAAAAACAAAUGCAAUUUGACUUACGUAUGACUCAUCAUGCUGACUUCUUCAAUAAGACAAUAAGUACACUUAAUUUAGAGAAAUAUGUCAGCUAUGAUCUUAUCUGACCAGUAUCCAACCGGGUUAUUUUUGCCUAGUCGUUGUCUUAGUAUAUUUGGAUACAAAUUUGACUUAUCCCGUUCUCCGUAACCAAAAUCUAUCUUAUGUUAAUGCUCUUUGUAUUAAUGGAAUGGAAUGGAAUGAGAGAACUUAUGGACACGAUGAAACGCUUCAAAGGAUACAAACGCAAAACAAGUGAAAAUGAUUUUGGUUAAUCGUCUUAUCAUAUCACAUUGUCCUAACAAAUCACAGAAAGAACCAAAUCACAUUGUCCUAAGUUUCUAACUAAUCACCUUAUACAUUGAAUGGUUCGUGGACAAUGUGGUUCUUAAUUCUUUUAAAUGACCCCAAAAAAAAAAACAAGGAUGAUGAUCCAAAGGGGUAAUAGAAAACCACCCAAUACGGCCAUGAGUUUCGGAUGAUGCGGAUCAGCUACGGUCAGCUCGAGAGUUACCCAAUAAAUUCACAGUUAAUUUUUUUUUACGGCUUAAAAAACACAAUUACGCGAAAAUUCGGUUUCUAGGUGCCACUUUUUGUUGUUGUUGUUGUGAUUACUUUUCCUUAAGGGAAAAAAAAAAAAAAACUCAUAAAACAAAACAAAGACGAGCUCAUCUUUCCCUGAUCAGAUCUAAACUUCUCCUCGCACCCAAAUUUUGCCAGCUUUCGUUUCUCUGUUCUUAACAUUUUCGCGAAUUCAAAAAUGGAUUUCAUGAAGGUCUUCGAUCAAACGGUUCGAGAGAUGUGGGUUUGCCGUUUCGUCUUGUCUAUUCUCCUUCUUCGAUUUCGAUCCAAAUCCGUAGAUCUUUUUUGGUUUUAUCGUUUUUUUUUUUGCCGACUGAUCUCGUUGAGUUUUCAAUUUCAGAAAGAGGGAGGUGAAUCUGAAAGUUUUGAAGGUCCCUGAGAUGGAGCAGAAGGUGAAUUCAUUUGAUUCGUAUCUAUUAUAUGUGCAAAAUGAUUGAGAACUUUCUCUAGUGUUAGCUAGAAUCAUGAUGUCUCUGCGAAGUAAAGAGUUACUAGUCCUCAACAGCUGAGCUCGAUUUAUUACGUUUCUGUUUCCGGAUGCUGUAUCCGAGAUUAGAUCCACCUUUGGGACUAAGAAAUCUCGAGUUCCUAUUCAAUGAAUAUACAAUUUAAGCUUGAGCGUUGAUGUUUAUAUUAGAUAAGUUUUGUAAGGUUUAAGUUGGUGGCUAUGCGUAUUGUAGUUUUGUAAGGUUUAAGUUAUGUGUUGAUGUUUAUAUCCUCGUUUCCUGGAUUCUCAGUUUCAUCAUGUCUUCAAUUUCACUUUGUUCAUUUCGACUCCUGUGUCUAUGUUUAGUACAGGUAUUGGAUGCUACGGAUAAUGAGCCUUGGGGUCCCCAUGGUACUGCAUUGGCAGAGAUAGCACAGGCCACGAAGAAAUUGUAAUCUCUGCCUUCAUUUUCUUUCAUGAGUCCUUUUUUUUUUUGGGUAUGAUUUUACACGGUAAGAGUUUUGAUUUUAAAAUGCUUAACAUGUGCGUUUGGAAUAUGAUUAGCUCGGAGUGCCAGAUGGUUAUGAGUGUUUUGUGGACUAGACUUACUGAGACAGGAAAAGAUUGGCGAUAUGUCUACAAGGUGAAAAAUCUUCUUGACGUUUUUGCAGUAUUUGGAAGUUUACUGUAUAUAUUUUUAGUGUAACCUGAGUUUUUUUUGUCUACCAGGCAUUAGCUGUCAUCGAUUAUCUGAUUUCAAAUGGAUCGGAACGAGCUGUUGAUGAGAUUAUUGAGCAUACUUACCAAAUAUCUGUCAGUUUAUCUUUCUUACACACUGAUUUUGGUUCUCUCAGGGUGGAUAUUGUAAUUUUUCUAUUGACAUGGUGUUUGUUUUGUGAUUUGCCAUCCAUGUAGUCUCUCACGAGUUUUGAGUAUGUUGAACCAAAUGGAAAAGAUGUGGGCAUCAAUGUGAGAAAGAAGGCAGAAAACAUAGUCGCUCUCUUGAAUAAUAAAGAGAAAAUCUCAGAAAUCAGAGACAAAGCAAUAGCAAAUCGUAACAAGUUAGUGUUUAUACAACUGCAUAUUCGGUUUGCCUUUUCUUCUUUAAACGUUGCAUUUAUCGGGUUAUGUUGCCUCCAAUCAGGUACGUUGGACUCUCAUCCACGGGGAUAACAUAUAAAUCUGGUUCAGCUUCAGCAUCAUUUGGUGGUAGUUUUCAAAGUGGUUCAAGCAAUUAUGACAGCUACAAGGAUAGGGAUUCCAGAGAAGACAAAAAUGACUACGAGUCUUUUCAAAAGUCAAGGCGCGGUGUUAAAAGUGACGAGCAAGGCUUUACUUCAAAGAAGAGUUUUUCACGCUAUGGCAGGUUUUAUGUCAACCCCUUUCAUUUCUGAUGUUACGUUCGUUACAGAUUUUGAAUAUAUUUCAAUUUGUGAGUUUUAUUUCCCAGAUGAGGCUGCUUGUUUCCUUUUAUCUUCUUGUUUCUGUUUUCGUUUACGACUCAUUUUGUGUUUUUUUUUUUCUGAUGUAGAGUAACUUACUUUUUCAUUAUUGCUCAAUUUAGUUCAAUUUUGAAUGUGCAGCACGGACCAUGAUAAUCUAUCCACUGGAAAAAAGUCACCCGACUCUGCCAAGUAUAGUUCACAUGUGUCUGCAGCACCUUCAAACAACGAUGAUGAUUUUGAUGAUUUUGAUCCACGUGGAACUUCCAGCAAUAGUAUGUUUUUUUCUAGACUGCUGAGCUUUCAGAUUGUUUAUCAUUUAUUGGACAUUUAAUUAGUUUGAUAACUUAUAGGGAACAACAUGUAUAUAUGAUAGAUGAAAGUCAUGUCUUAUCUGUAUCGGUUUCGUUUUGGCAGAGCCAGCCGCAGGCAGUGCUAACCAAGUGGACCUUUUUGGAGGAGAUCUGAUUGGUGACCUCUUGGAUUCUGGGCCAACAGAAACAUCCACCACCAACAACAACGAGAAAUUUCAAGAUGCGGACUUGUUUGCUGAUGCAACUUUUGUAUCAGCCUCGGCUCAGGGAACAGGAUUUGGUUCACAGUCACCGGUGGGCAACUUCUUCCAUCUAAGCUAGUAUAAGGCUUUAAACAAAUGAAAAUUUCCUUAUUAACGUUCUAUCUGAUUCAAUUCUGCACUGCUUGACAAACAUGCUCAGUUUUCGUUGUUGAAGUUAUAACGCGUCAUUAUGAAUUGUGCUAUUGAAUCAUAGACUGAUAUGUCUCCCCAUGUCUGUUUCUACAGAAAGAAGUUGAUCUUUUCUCUGCGUCUGAACCUUCUGUCACAGUUUCUUCAGCUCCUCCGACAGUUGAUCUUUUUGCAUCUCCCGAAUCCAUUGCACGCCCAGAAGCCAAUAUAUCUAAACCUGAGUCUAUGACCACUCCCAACAUUGUUGACCCAUUUGCUGCAGUUCCAAUGGAUAAUUUUGAUGGAUCUGAUCCUUUUGGUGCCUUCACUUCCCACUCGGCUUCAGCCUCUACAGGUCCACAGGCUCCAAAUGUACAAGGGAGUGCAGCAAACACUACAAGCCCGAUGUCUUUGGCAGACUCGAAGCCACAACACUUGCAAAAGAAAGAUCCUUUCCAAGUGAAAUCUGGAAUUUGGGCAAAUUCUCUGAGCCGUGGACUGAUUGAUCUCAAUCUAACUGCUCGUAAGUCAAAACUUCCCCCUUCAUCCAGAACUCUAUCAUGUGCCAUGCACUAGUAUGUGGUAGUGAACUAUUAAGAAAAUUGUAUUUUUCUCAUUAGAUGCAGAUAAAACUGAACAGGUAUAGUUGGUCAAUUACAUUCCAACGAAUUGUCAAAUAGUUGAUUAAACCACUCAAACUUCUUCGGUCAUAUAGAAUUUCAAUACCAUGUACCUUGACUUUGCAUUGUGUCAAGACAAAUAAAUGGUCGGGUUUAACUUUCUAAGUGCGAUCUCAGUCCUGACUAUUUGGUUUUCCUUGUAAUCAGCCAAAAAAGCUUCUCUAGCUGAUGUGGGCGUGGUGGGUGGUCUGAGCAAUGAUGAAGGUAACAAAGCAUCUGCUGCUUCGUACUACUCAGGCUGGUCCAUGGGUGCAGGAUCAGGGCUCGGUAAAACUGGUCUAUACAGUACACAGCAGCAGCAGCAACAACAAGCACAUGAUAUCUCAGAUGAUUUCUUCUCCAGCCUCAGUAACCAAAACUACCAAUCUGGAGGCUUUAAGUAGUGAAUUUGUCCGGGAUAUUCGUAUUGAGACGGAAAAGGCAUAUCAGGUUUGAGUCUACAUUCAAUACUGGAAAUCUAAGUAAUAUUUUUUUUUAAUUGGCUUGUUGUUCUUGCACUUCAUUCAUGAGACGAUCUGGUCGGUGGCUGAUGUGCCAUUGUUGUUGUGGCAUUUACUUUGGGUUUAAAUGAGAGAUAAGAAGAGAUAAGAAUUGUCUAUGGUUUUUGAUAAGAGAGUAUUAUUAUUGGGUUUAAGUUUUGUUUUGUUCAUACAAAAUAAAUGUAUCUGAGUAUCUCGUCCGACUCUUCAAAGAUUUUUGCUAUCGUGUGUGAUUCUUAAUCCAAAGAGACUCCAACGUUCUUCUUAAUUAUGUUUUCUGAUUUUAUUCAGAAACUGCGUACACAUUGACGUAAGUUCAUAUCUUAAUGAUUAUGUUUAAGACUAAUCUUAUUACACUAUUUAGUUAACUUGUCACGAAUGACUUAAAAUAUAGGUUAAUCUUAUUUACAAAGAAAAUGAUUAAAUUGGAACAGAAAGAAAGAAAAAAAACUAGUCCAACACAAAAAUAAAAAAUGUCAUCUCUUCACUGGUUUACCAAUAUCGUCUUCGUCGUUGUCGUCUUCUGCUCCACGAGUUUAGCUUCACCCUUACAUGGAAGCUCACAGGUUGUACUAGAAGAAGAAACCACAGUAGUAGGAUACGGCUACGUCGUUAGAUCAGUGGCUGUUGAUUCCAAUGAGAAGCUUUUGACGGCGAAUCUUGACCUGAUCAAACCGUCGUCCGUUUACGCACCGGAUGUGAAAUCGCUUAGUCUUCAUGCCAGGUCCUUAUAAUCUUCUCCGUUCUUCUCUCACUCUUAGCAAUAUAUCUAAUUUGGCAAGUUUUUUAAAGUUAUUUUAAAUGUGCGAUAAUUAAGGAAAGUUUUAUGAUUGUUUGGUAUAUAUUAUAUGUGCAGCUUGGAGACGAGUGAGCGUUUGAGAAUCAGAAUCACAGAUUUUAGUCAACAAAGAUGGGAGAUACCGGAAAAUGUUAUUCCUCGCGCCGGAAACCACUCUCCUCGCCGUUUCGUAACGGAGGAAGUAGACGGAGGAAACUCGCCGGACAGCAAUUUCUUAACAGAUCCAUCAUCGGACUUAGUUUUCACACUCCACAACACCACGCCUUUCGGUUUCUCCGUCACCCGACGCUCCUCCGGCGAUAUCCUCUUCGACACUUCGCCGGAUCAAUCAGAUCCGAGCACUUACUUCAUCUUCAAAGACCAAUUCCUUCAACUAUCUUCCGCGUUACCGGAAAACAGAUCGAAUCUGUAUGGUCUCGGGGAGCAAACCAAGCGAUCGUUCAGGCUAAUCCCGGGUGAUACUAUGACUAUGUGGAACGCCGACAUCGGUAGCGAGAAUCCGGAUGUUAACCUUUACGGAUCGCACCCGUUUUACAUGGAUGUAAGAGGAUCAAACGGUCAUGACGAAGCAGGGACGACUCACGGCGUUUUGUUGCUGAACAGCAAUGGAAUGGAUGUGAAGUAUGAAGGACAUCGGAUUACUUACAGUGUGAUCGGAGGAGUCAUUGAUCUCUAUGUGUUCGCUGGACCAUCACCUGAAAUGGUGAUGAAUCAGUACACAGAGCUUAUUGGAAGACCUGCUCCUAUGCCUUACUGGUCAUUUGGUAAGAGACAUUGUGCUGUUGCAUUUUGUUUGCUUAAAAGUUAGUCCAUAGCAUUAUCAGAUAAUAUACUUGUUUGUGUGGAUUGAGAUGUGCGUUUUGCUUUGAUUUUGUGAAGGAUUUCACCAAUGUAGGUAUGGCUACAAGAAUGUUUCAGACCUCGAAUCUGUAGUUGAUGGAUAUGCAAAAGCUAGAAUACCUCUUGAGGUUAUGUGGACAGACAUUGAUUACAUGGACGGCUACAAAGACUUCACUUUGGACCCCGUAAAUUUCCCAGAGGACAAGAUGAAAUCAUUUGUGGAUACACUUCAUAAGAGUGGUCAGAAAUACGUGCUGAUCUUGGAUCCCGGUAACAACCAUAUACUAUCUCUUGUCUGUAGAGUCUUUAACAAAUUGAUUUUACAAGAUGAAAAUAUUGGGUUUACGUGUAGGUAUUGGUGUGAACAGAUCUUACGGGACUUAUAAUAGAGGGAUGGAAGCAGAUGUUUUCAUAAAGCGAGAUGGUGAGCCUUAUCUCGGUGAGGUUUGGCCCGGAAAAGUAUACUUCCCUGACUUCUUGAAUCCAGCUGCUGCAACUUUCUGGAGCAAUGAAAUCAAGAUUUUCCAGGACAUUCUCCCUUUGGAUGGUCUGUGGAUUGACAUGAAUGAGUUAUCAAAUUUCAUAACUUCACCUCUAACCCCUGGAUCUUCACUCGAUGAUCCUCCUUACAAGAUUAACAAUUUUGGGGACAACGCGCCAAUAAACAACAAGACAGUUCCCGCAACAGCUAUCCAUUUUGGAAACGUUAGUGAAUACAAUGCGCAUAACUUGUAUGGCCUGUUGGAAGCUAAAGCCACUCACCAGGCUAUAGUGGAUGUAAUGGGAAAGAGACCAUUUGUUUUGUCGAGAUCCACGUUUGUAAGCUCCGGAAAGUACACGGCUCACUGGACUGGUGAUAAUGCUGCAAAAUGGGAGGAUUUGGCUUACUCAAUCCCUGGAAUUCUCAACUUUGGUCUGUUUGGGAUUCCUAUGGUUGGAGCUGAUAUAUGUGGUUUCUCACAUGAUACCACCGAGGAACUAUGUCGUCGAUGGAUCCAGGUAGAGUGAUUAUUUCUCAGACACAACCUGUAGACUUUUUCCUGAGUUCGUAAUCUAACGUUUGCUCUUAGAUUAUCAGCUUGGAGCUUUUUACCCUUUUGCAAGAGACCAUUCGUCCCUUAAUACCGCCAGACAAGAAUUAUACCUCUGGGAGUCUGUUGCUUCUUCUGCAAGAAAGGUUCUCGGCCUCCGUAUGAGACUGCUCCCACAUCUCUAUACACUGAUGUAUGAGGCUCACGUUAGCGGCAUCCCGAUCGUGAGACCACUCUUCUUCUCGUUCCCUCAAGACACUAACACUUACGAAAUUGAUUCACAGUUCUUGAUCGGUAAAAGCAUAAUGGUUUCUCCGGCGCUGGAGCAAGGAAAGCUGACGGUAGAUGCAUAUUUCCCUGCCGGAAACUGGUUUGAUCUUUUUAACUAUUCAUUUGCCGUCGGUGGAGCUUCUGGCAAGCACGUUAGGCUUGACACUCCCGCAGAUCACGUGAACGUUCAUGUUCGAGAAGGUAAUUAAAUAGUAUGUUCUUUGAUAGCUACUUCUGAAAUGAAACUGGAGUUGAGCUUGAACAGAUUUUGGUUUAACUUGUAAAUAGGUAGUAUUGUGGCUAUGCAAGGAGAGGCAAUGACAACUAGAGACGCCAGAAAGACACCGUAUGAGCUUCUAGUUGUAGCCAGCCGGCUUGAGAACAUAUCCGGCGAACUGUUUCUGGAUGACGGGGAAAAGAUACAGAUGGGAGAGGGAGGAGGAAACCGUGAUUGGACUCUCGUGAAGUUCCGGUGCUACGUAACAGGGAAAUCGGUGGUACUGAGAUCAGAAGUGGUGAACCCAGAGUACGCUUCGAGAAUGAAAUGGAGCAUAGGGAAAGUGACAUUUGUUGGGUUCGAGAACGUAGAGAGCGUGAAAACGUACGAGGUGAGGACAGGUGAGAGAUUGAGAAGUCCGAGAAUCUCGCUAAUCAAAACGGUUAUGGACGAUGAUGAUCCGAGGUUUCUCAGUGUGGAGGUUUCAAAGCUGUCGUUGCUUGUUGGGAAGAAGUUCGAGAUGAGAUUGAAAUUGACUUGAACAAGUACUAAACCCAAAUAUUGAUGAUAUAAACUCUGGAUGCUUAAUGAAUAAAGGGUGUAAAGAAGAGUGAUAUAUAAAGAUUUAAGAAUAAUGUCAUGCGAUCCAAUUACUUUGUAUUAUUGUACAGAAGGAUACAUACCAGGUUCAAAAUUCGUGUAUCAUAAAUAUUGUAUUUUUCCCUUCUCCUUUUCACUUCGUUAGUAUUUUCUGUUCAUUAUAAAUCAACCAAAUUGCAGUCUUCAAAAUUUUUGAACCAUCUGCACAUGUUGCCAUGUGGGGUUUGCCGGAAAAAAAAAAAAAAAAAAAAAGAGAGGAGCAUAUUUUUUUAUUUUUUAUUUUUUAUUUUUUUUUGUCAAAAGAGAGGAGCAUAUUUGUGCCACUUUGACCACUUUUUUCCUUUUGCUAAUAUACCGCCAUGUUUGUGCCCACAAUUUUUCUGAAUUCUCACUAAUUGUCAUUGACCUCGUUAACUCAAAUUUCAAAAUAAUUAAUUAACAUAAUAAACUUACAAAUUACAAUUCGAAAUUAUCCUUAUUGGUUGAUAAAUAUCCUUAAACGCGUUUAAAAUUAAUUACCAAACCAGAAGAAGAAAAAAAAUGAAUGUUAUGGUCCCAUUCUAAUAUACACACACACACACAAAAAAGAGUCGACGGUACAACAGCGGUCUUGUCUAGUACGCAAAAACAGUUUCGGCGUCUUCCUCACAUUACUUUUCUCAAUCAAUACCGUCUUCUCCUCUCCAUCCAUUAUCUCUCUCUCUCUCCCUCACGGAUUCGUAACUUCUUCUCAGUGCUUCUCCGUCAUCUUCGCAUUAUUGAUUCUUACUUUUUCCCUGUAAGCUCGACACGUGGAUUGUUCCCCUGCUUUUUCUUUUGUUUUUUUUUGCCUCUUUUCGUGAAGAUUCGUUUCCUGUAUCUGUGCAGACUUGCAAUGGAGUAAGUUUCCUAAAUUAGCUCGGCUCUAGAUCCUAGUUUCUUUAAUUAGCUUGUCCGGUGAAGGAAUUAGUGACUGGAUCAACUAGAUACUAUCGAUUCCGUAUGCUGCGGCUUUCGAUUUCGUGGAUUUGUAUUUGGAAAUUUUGCCGAUUUUUCUGAUUCUGUCCUGCUGGUAAAGGUCUCGUGAUUAGCGGAGGAGAUCUGGAGUUCUUAGUUUUAGGAUCUUACGAGCGAGCAAUUGUUGACUUUUGAUUUUGCCACAGUUUUAUUCACGUGUGUAGGCUUAGUUGAUUCAGAUUCAAGUUAGAAGCAGAAUCAGAAUCUGCAAAUACCUGUUGUUUUAGAAACUAUAGAGAUGCAGACUAGGGUUGUACAGUUGGAAGAAGGGAAAGAAACUGGAAUCACGGUUAGAACAGGGCAGUACAAGGCAUUUCCUUCGAAGCUGCUUCUUCUGCUAGGCUUUUUUCUUGCUUUUGCUAUUACUGUCUUCAUCAUUAGUGUAUCUACUAUCAAGUAUACUGGAAUACAAAGUGUAGUGACCACAGUGACUUCGAGCUUUGUGCCAUGCCGUGAGGAUGAACCCAGUGGUUUUAGUCAAUGGAUACUACCUCCUGCUGUUCUGAUGCAUAAUAUGAGCGACGAAGAGCUCCUUUGGCGCGCUUCUUUUUGGCCUCGGAGAAAAGAAUAUCCCUUUAAAAGGGUUCCAAAGAUUGCGUUUAUGUUCUUGACUAAAGGCCCCUUGCCGCUUGCUUUGCUUUGGGAGAGGUUUUUCAAGGGUCACAAUGGGCUUUACUCGGUUUACCUUCAUCCACACCCAUCUUUUACAGCCAAGUUUCCAGCUAACUCUGUUUUCCACCGGAGGCAGAUACCCAGCCAGGUCUGGUUCUUUUAUUUCUCUUCUGUUUACAUGGAUACCAGUUUCAUAUGGUAUGAGAAACUGGAGCUCCUGGACCAAACUUGGUUUCUAUAGAAGCCUCUUUGGCAUUGCGUAUUUACUCCAUACAGCCUUUUUGGAUGCCAUGUAGUCAUCGCUCUUGAAGUAUUAUUGUUGAUUAAGUGAUUAGUUGGAUUACCAAUCACAUAAACUAUCAGAAAAUAUAACUCUAGAAUCAAAUUGGUGGUUUCUUUAGUAGCCUUUUGUUCAAGCAGUUCUUCAGAUUGCUUUGAAUCUAAUUGGUUAUGUAUCUGAUUUUAUUGUUGUAUCAUUGUGCAGGUUGCAGAAUGGGGGAGAAUGUCCAUGUGUGAUGCAGAGAAGCGGCUUCUCGCCAAUGCGCUGCUUGAUAUCUCCAACGAAUGGUUUAUUCUAGUCUCAGAGUCAUGCAUUCCACUCUACAACUUCACAACCAUCUACAGCUACUUAAGCCGAUCAAAACACAGCUUCAUGGGUGCUUUUGAUGACCCUGGACCGUAUGGGCGCGGCCGCUAUAACUCGAACAUGGAACCAGAAGUCCCCAUUACCAAAUGGCGAAAAGGGUCUCAAUGGUUUGAGAUUAACAGGGACCUAGCAGCUACCAUUGUCAAAGACACAUUGUAUUACCCGAAAUUCAAAGAGUUUUGCAGACCCGCUUGCUAUGUGGACGAGCAUUACUUCCCGACAAUGCUGACAAUUGAGAAACCAGAGGUCUUGGCUAACCGGAGCUUGACAUGGGUGGACUGGUCGAGGGGAGGGCCCCACCCUGCCACGUUUGGGCGAUCUGACGUUACAGAGAAUUUCUUUGUAAAGAUCUUUGAUGGAAGAAACUGCACUUACAAUGGGCGCAACACUUCCAUGUGCUAUCUUUUUGCGAGGAAGUUUGCUCCGAGUGCUCUGGAGCCUUUGCUUAGCAUUUCUCCGAAGAUUCUUGGAUUUUGAGUAGUUUAGUAAUGUCUCUGAACCUCUUAGACAUCAAAUAGAGAACACGGAAUGGGUGAGAUAAUGGAUUCUAUGGGAGAUUAUACGCCGAUAUUAUUUUAUUUUGUUUGUUGUGAUGUAAGUUGGGAAGAAAUGAGGUAUUAGUAGAGAGAACUCUAGGUUGCUCAACCACAACAGGAGCCAAGUCAUAUGUAACUUUAUAUUUUUAAAGAAUUACUACUAUGCUAUGCAUAGAUCAUUUUUUCUUCCGGAUAGUCUUGGAACAUUAGUUGUCCGAUGCACGAAAUAGGACAGGUUUAUUAUAUAUACGCAAGUGUCAUUGAAUCAGAUUUGUUUGUCUAAUGUUUUUUCUAAUGUUAUCGUCUCUAACUCAUUUUGAAUCAGGUUAGAAAAACGAACAAACCUUUCUUAACAUGGAUAUGUAUAUAGAGUAAUCUUAGUCUUGGUAAAUUGCUUACCGACCUACAAACUAAAAAGAAAGAAAGAAAGAAAGAAAAAUUGCUUACCGACCAAGAUAUUGCUUAGAAUGUGAAACCAGUAGACUAGAUAACUAAAUGACAAUGGGAACAAACCAGAGCCAGGUGGAGAACACACUUUUACACCUAAUCGAAGGUUCUCGAAACCCUCAAGAGCCUGCCAACGUCUACCAUCUGUCUUUUUUUCUCUUUCUCUUUAAACAAUUGCAAAGUUUAAUAAAGUAUGUGAAAAGGUUUCAUUUAUGGAAAAAGAAGGUCUCAAAAUUCAAUUCUAUAUCAUCUUAUUGGAAUAUAUUCUCUGAGAUAAAAAGAAAUUCCACACACAUUCCACCAAUUUUUUAUUGUAUAUAAAAACUUAUAAUGAAAAUAUUUUCAACUUUUUUUUUUAGUUCUGAACAAAAAUAAUUUCAAAUAUUUUCUUCAAACUGACUUUUUCUAAGAAAUGUGAUGUCCACCCAUUCAACUAAGUUGGCUCACAUUAUUCUCAAAAUUAUAUAAAAAACAAAUCUAUAUGGUCUAGAUGCUAUUAAUAACUAUUGAAAAACAAGACAAUUUUGACAAAUUCUCAUAAUACUAUUAGAAAACAUUAUAAUAUAGUUAUUAAUUAUAUAUUUGUCUACUCUUUUCAAUAUCGCAUUAAUCUUCCAUGAUAAGGAAAAAGAAAGAUUAGCACAUUGUUCUUCGUUUGUUUACCAAACAAAAAAAAACACACAGUUCACCAAUACCAGUUUAAAGUACAUUAAUCAAACAUUGCUUCGAGAAACCAAAGAAAAAACAAUUUUUAUUACCUCUUCUGUCGACGUUAUUUGUUUUUUAAAGAAGCUCUUUUCUAUAAAGGAAAAACAUUAGCCGUUACACGAACCCCAUGUGCUCACCAAAUAAAAUGGUCCCUUCUUUACUCCCAACCAAAUACAAAUACAAAUACAAAUACAAGUCUGCGCAUCUUGGCCGUUUCCUUCACGGAACCGCGUUUUUCCGUCACUGUUAAAAAAAAAUUGACAGCUCAUCAAACAUUCUCCACGCGCCGUGACUAACAAACAAAAACCUCUACCAAGACCGUUGCGUCUUUUUUAGUCCAGAAAGUUAGAUGCACGCGCCAAGUGUGAGCGUUCGAGACAAAAAUAUCCUCGCGAACGGCGCCGUAACGGAAGAAAGAUGACCUGUCGAAAUCUCAGUGAUUGCGUGGGAGCAAUAUCAACCGUCGAUUAUUCAUACUCCAGCUGGAAAAAUCAGGGCAGCUAAACCAACUAAACCGGGCAGCUCCACCUCUUUAUAAACUCGUCACCACAUUUCAUUUUAGAAAACCAAAUAUUCAAAGAACCCUAGCCUCCUCUCUCUUCUUCAUUCACAUACACACACAUCUCUCUCUUUCUCACUCUCAACUUUAAAACUCUUUUGAAAUGGCGUUCUCCAAGGCUUCAAUCGUUGCUCUCGUGUUGGUCAUCAUCUCCGUCGUGGCUACGGCUCAGUCUGAAGCCCCAGCACCAAGUCCUACUUCCGGAUCUAGCGCGAUCUCAGCUUCGUUCGUCUCAGCUGGAGUAGCAGCAGUGGCGGCUCUUGUCUUCGGCUCUGCUCUUCGGAUCUAAGCUUUACUGUGAUGGUGGUUUCGUACAGAGAUUGUUUUUGCAGUUUAUGAUUAUUAUUAAUAUAUCUUGGGGAGUAUAGGCCAUUCAUCAUUAUUCGUCUCUCGUGUGUAUUCCGAAGCCUAUAGAUCUCAUUUCUUACUUGGCUCUCUUUUCUAUCUUCUUCUUCUAUAUUAUAAUCUUCAUAUAUGUAUUGAGGAUGAUAUUAUCUCUGGGUAUUGUGGUGGUUUUAGAGUUGUGGGAUUAUGGCCCUUUUUGAUAUGAUAUAUUGAAUCUAUUCUAUUUAUUUAUAUAUUUAUGGAUUUCCCUUCUUAAAUCUCUCUCUCUCUCUCUCUCUCUUCUCGUGUUUCACAGAUUAAUAUGAGAAUAUGCUUACACAGAGUAGUUGAGAAUUUUAUAAAUCGGAAUAUAUUCCAACGCGUUACAAAUCGAAUCAUUCCAAAACCCAAGUAAAAUGCUGUAACUCAAAAGCUAACUUUUAUGAUCUAAUUGAGAAUCAAAAAUUGUAUUCUGGUGGAAAUGGAACUGAUUCUAAACAAAGCUCG